rnacentral:lncRNA from 1 species
UACAUGUUCUCAACCAUAUAAAUUAUCAUUGUUAAAACUUAAAAGUGCAAUGUCGUGUCGUGAGUACUAACUAAAUUAGAGUAUAAUUCGCAUUGAUUAGGUCAAUAUGUAUGAUAAUAUAUGCCUCAUGAUGGAUCAGUAUACUAAAUAGCAAAGUAAUUUCUUCAGAUAGGAUGAUAGAUGGUGAUCGACGAAUUAGGGCACGUAUAACUUGUUGCCACAUUUGCACCUCCACGCCUCGGGAUAGUACUCUGUAGUCACUGGUGUUCCAGGCGGCACUGGCACAUGAACAAGCUUGCACGGCGUACAUCUACCACAUUUUGACGUGCAACGAGGUGGCGACGAUCCCGGCCCACCCAAAAGCCUUCUAGCUCCACCCAUGCUCUCUUUAGCUAUAUCCCAAUUACUAUUUUCCUCUGCGGUCUUCUUCUCUAAUUUCUGCCACCAAUCAAAUGAAAAUUUUUAAUUAGGAAAAAAAAGAAAAAUAGUGUAGAAGAUAUUUGGUAUUGUCAUCUCAGAAAGACUAACGAGGGGCCAGGGUUCAUGAGGCUGUAGCAGAAAAAUGGCUACACUCAUUACGCCGAUCGAAGUUUACAUUGGACUCGUUUGAAAAUGACAAACACCUCUUUUUUACAGUACAUUAUUGUAAAAUUUAAAAGUAAUAACAUGAAAUAGAAUUAUUUUAUAUGCACUUUUUCAUUUAUCUAAAAUUUUAAUUUAUGAAAAUAUUAACAAGAAAAUCAGUUUUUUACUGCAAAAGAAUAAUUUAAAGUUGAUUGAUGGAGAAAUAAUGUGACUUCGGAUUAUUUGGCUUCCAUUCCAUCAAGCAAUAUAUUUCGGUGAACGAAUUGAAUUUUGCUACUCAAAUAGGGACCUUUGGCGGAUCCAUGUGACAGGGGCUGAGGUGAUCUGAAAUUUGAAUUUUCAGAUCAAGCGUUGAGGUCACAAGGGCCUGUCACCUCAGCCCUGUCACAGACAGUCCCUGUUUGUGUAGCAGGAUUGGACCAAAUUACCUUAACAUGUCAAUGUUUACCCCUAAAAUGAUCAUCACCAUUUCAAGUCAAGGAUAAAAAUUGAAAAUGACAAAAGAUAUAACCACUUGAACAUUGAUUUUGUACAAUUAAGUUGAUAGAGAAGUUCAAAUCAAUGGGCAGUCAACCUUUCUGAACAAAUGUAUUUCUUGGGUCGUGUAAGGACAAUUGGUUGAAUUUGACAUUUAGCCCCGUUUGAACCACAUUAUUAUAAAAAUGACAAUGAAAAAUAUAGUUGUUAUAGGUCUCAUAUAAGAGAUAAAAAGUCAAAUAUGGCAGCUUAAUGUGAUGGAUAAUGGUCAUAUUUUUCAUUUUAAUGAAAAAAUAAUGGGACUCGGUCACGGUCUUAAAUAUCUUAAUACAAACCCCUAAUUUUAAAUUUUCAAAUUCUCCUAAAAAAUUUAUUUUGAUCAACACCUGCACAAAGUCUUUUUUGUGGGGCUCCCAAUUUCUGUUUGUAGGGUUUGCUCCUAAUCGUGAAGCCUUUUGUUGUUUGAAUUCUUAUCACAAUCUUAAGUUAACACUAAUUUAUAUAGCAUGAUUCUAUAAACCAAUUAAUCUUCUAAUAAAUAUUUUACUAGACAAAAAUUUGGCAAUAAUUAAGCAGUAAUACUUACCUGCAAGUAAGUAUCAGCUUCAUGAGGCAACACACAACUGGUUCCUGCAAAACAAACACAAAAGGAGAAAAUUUCUUGACAAAUUAGCCCUGCACAAAGAUGAAAGGGAAAAAGAAAGAGCGGACCAAAUUUUCACAUAAAAUUUUUUAGAAAAAUUAUUAUCACUCCAAUCUUGGCUGAAAAACAUUAGAUGAAGCAACGAUUUUUUUUUUUUAAAUAUUAUUAACUAAAAUAGUUUCCUGGUUUCUGGCACUGUGAAUGCCUCGCAAACAACAACAACAGCAGCAGCAGAAGAGGAAGGAGCAGAAUAUGAUACACUGAAGAUUUAAUCUGUUGCCCAUAAACCUCAGUCUUGUAAUCUUCCAGCAAAACUCCAUUAACAAGAAGAAGAAGAAGAAGAACAAAUAAUCUUGAAUAAAGAGUGAAUUCUUGCCGGUUUUUUUAUGGGUUUUUAGCCAAAUACUGAAACGUGUACUACCAGUAAACUUUCAAGUCUUCAGCGCCAGCCAGACUGUAAUUUCUCAUGCCCCAUGCAACAAGAAAUUCUAGUCGUGACUAUUAUUCUUUUGAUCGUGUCAAAAAAAUAUAUUUGUUUAACUAGCGUUGAAUGUUUCUUUCUCAUAAUUUAUUCGUCGAUCACAAAUAAAAAAUCUUAUAUAAGUCACAAUUUAUUUAUUAAUUACAAAUCAAUAGAUCACAAAUUAUUAAUUAAUUAGUCACAAUUUAUUUUUCGAUCGCAACUUAAUAAAUUGUGAGUCACAAUCACAUUUUUUAGUGUUGCCAUGCCCACUCAAACUGUAAGGUUAAGUCAACAAACAAUUGCACAUUAUUAGGAUUAUAUCUUCGACAAGCAGAAAGACAAAUUUGUCAUAUAACUUGGAAGAGAUAGACCCCAAAAGUUAGUAAUUGAGAUUGGAAAAUCCAAGCCUAUAUAAACUAUACAAAGGAAACCCAUAUUUCCGACCUGGGAUUCAAGUGCCCAUACACCCCAAUGGAAACCACAACAAAAUUUCCAACUUUAUAUCCCUUCAUGUGUAUUUGCAUGCCGUAUCAAUCUUUGAUCUUAAAAGUUUAAGCUCUUAGAUACGAACACAUUUAUUCAUUUAAAUUUAAUCUUUAAAGUGCCUUUUCCGUAUUUAAUUUUUCGAAGACUAACUACUGCAUAAUUUUCACGAUGGCACUAUGAAACUUUAAUGUUACCACUUGAGUCUACUCUAACCAUUAAAUUUAAUUUAAUCUUAGCACUUGUUAUACCACGUUCGUCAAAGGGAUCCAAAAACGCCACAUGCACGUCAGGUGGCAGGUGACACCACGGGCAUUUCGCAUCCUUUCCGGUCGAACCCUUGGAAUAACGAACCAAAUGAUGAACUCCUUAACCGAUCCUGCCCCUAUUGGAACCAACACAACUAAACCAAUGGGGGUGAACCGACCCACAGGAACCUAGGCGAAAGCAACGAAAUUAAUAAAGAGGUUAAUUGACAGAAGAUCUCCUAAAUCAGCUUCAGCUCUAGUGACACUACUGAUUUGACUACUCCCUGACACUGUCACUGCCAAUCUAGUUGGUUGAAUCUAUGGCCGCAAGCUACGAAUUCUAAAAGGCAAGCUGAUGUUACCAUUCAAGUCUUAUGAUUGAUUGAUUCACAUGAUGGGAGGUUGUGCCCACUUGGAUGAGGCCAUGUGUCCUCUCAUCUGACGGUCCUGACUCACUAUCCCAUAUUAUAAAAGCUCACACUUAGUGUUAAUGAGAGGUAAUGCAAGUUUAGACUUUCAUACUAUAAUUUUGCUCUUUACAUUUUUUUUACUCCCGAAUCUGACCCCCUUUAUUUGAUAUUGGAGGCUCACGUUAUAAGCUCUCCCACACUCACAUACAUCUUCCCCAAUUGACUUGACCAUUGGAGUGUGCGUGGCCGGCUCCACCCCUACCGGAGAAGGCCACGUGUGUCUAACGGUUUGUCCUAAUGUGCAGAAAAAUGGCUUGUUAAGACGUGAGAAAGUCUCGGGAUCUGUUGGCCACCUAGAGGUACACUUUUUGAGGUCAACAGAGACAUUCUAACCAUGAACAUCCCAGUGGUAGAAGCCAGUUUGAAACGUAUUUUUUCUCCGACCGGACCUUAAAGAAAGGUCCAAUUUCUUGAAAAAGAAUGGCAGGGAGAAAGGGAACAUCCAAAGUAACACAUUUGAAAUUAUCACCCAGAGUGCAAUCAGCAAUACCCCAUGAGUUCUAGUCAUUAUGGCUCCCACAGUAGGGGACACCGACGGGAAGCCUCUGAAGAAGAGGUUCUCCAUACUAAUGUCACCACUCGCCGACCUCACCACCAACACAGACAACGUGAAACCACUGCCCGUCUAGCGAAGGAAGUGCAAGAGAUGGUAGCUAACAUGAGGGACAUUGCCCAACAGAAUGCUACAAUACAGAGUUGCUUAUACAGAUGCAAUGAUAGAUGGGAUACUAGGUUCCUCACCAAGAACCUCUCUAUCAGGAAACUCAUGCAGGGACCUACGACCAGGAACACAUGAGAUAACAAAGCCCAAAUGGGAGAGAGGUAGGCAUGGAUAUGACCUCCAGUUACGUUCCGAUCGAAACCAGGGGUAACUUGCCACAGGAAGAAAACUUCCCUCCCAAUUAUGCCCAAGAGCAAGGAACACAUGUAUUUGCCAAUGUCUUUGAUCGAAUCAAUCUGACAAAGACUAGAAUUACCCCACAACAAUCACGACCCACCUAGAGGCAGCCAGAAUACGCCCAAGGGCUUGAACCCCAGGAGGUCAGACAACCUAAUAGGUGGGAAAGAAGGGAUGCUGAAAACUUACAAAAUCAGGCCAAAGCGUCCCACUCUUCUCGGUGUCAGGCGGAGAAGGGUAAAUCGGAUGACCCCUGCAGAUCUUUCGAGCUAGAUGAUGAUGAUGACAACCUCUCGUUUUCACGAGAAUUGAGGAAUGCUGAAGUGCCAAGCCACUUUGUUCCCCCAAAGAUACCCAAAUAUAAAGGGAAGGGGGAUCCAGUCGGCGAAACACCUAAACAACUACAUGACCCACAUGUCUCUCAGAGGAGCCACGCCAGCGCUAAAAUGUAGAGCUUUCCACUUGAACCUAAUCGGGAGCAACUGAAAUUUGGUAGAGGUUGUUAGCAUUAGAAGUUCGCUUGACCUCAAGAAAACGUUCUUGAACCAAUACUUGGCAAGCAAAGAAGGCAAAGCCCCUAUCCAAAGGCUCCAGGACAUGAAGCAGUAGGGUGGAGAAACUUUGAAAAGUUACUUGGCAAGAUUCACAGACGGAAUAACCUACUGUGAAUAAGUAACUGAUAGAGAGGCUCUGCGAGGAGGCCUCAACAUGAACAUCCUUUUUUUGGAGGGAUGUGCAAAACAAGAAUUCGACCACUUAUGAUGCUCUGGUAGAAAUGAUGAGGAGCGAAAUAGUUAACGAGGAAUCAAUUGACCAUCGCAACCGAACCUCUUUGGGGCUUCGACCCCCACAGAGGCAGAGACGAGGUCCAGUGUCGUACUUGAUAACCCAGCAAUGGACCCAAGUCGGGCAGACAAUUGUCCCCACUUCAGGUCAAGCUCUAGUAAACUCCAUGUUAAAUGCGGUACCAUCCCUGGCCUAUGAAGAAGUUGGACCCAAUGCGCAAGCGCAAAUGAGUCAACCAAGGAGAAGAGGUCGAGGGAAAGGCCAUGAGUCCAGAAACAAACCAUACUAUGCAUAUCAUCGGACCCACGGCCACAGCACCACAAAUUGCUUGACGAAGAACAGUCAAACCGAUCUGGUGAUACGAUCGCAUAAACAGGAGAGACACCUCUCAGAGAAGAUAAGAACAAGGGUCCCAACGAGCAAAAGUGAGGAGGACCCAAAGAGAUCAGUCCCCAUGAUAGUCGGAUGAUAAAGAAAGGAGAAGGCCUAGAGAUGCUCGGAGGCAAAGGAGGGAGCCUCGUGUCGGGAUAGAAAAUGAACCCAUCAGGAAAAUUGACACCAUAGUUAGAGGCCCUCAUGUAGGAGACGAAUCCAGAAACGCCCAAAGAAACUACGCCAGGGAAGCUAAAGACCCUCCAAUGAUAAGCUACUUGGUCAACAGUAACCCGCGUGGAACCUACUACUUUCCCAAUUUGGUGGUGCGAGCCAUUGUUGCCAGAAAUGGCCUAAGUCGCAUGCUCAUUGACAACGACAGUUCGGUCAACAUCUUGUCUGGAGCAACUUAUGAUAAAAUGCAUAUUACCCAUGGCCUGGCCCCAAUGACAGCACCUUUAUACGAUUUUACAGGAGACAGCAUCGUUCCCAGAGGAAGGAUUGCAAUGGAAUUCUUGGUAGUGGACCACCGGUCGCGUACCAUGGGUUUCUAGGACUACCCGCAUUGAAAGAACUCUGGGCGGUAACAUCUAUACACCAUUUAUGUAUGAAAUUUCCAACUAAACAAGGUAUUGCAACGGUUCGAGGCAAUCAGAUAGGGUCAAGGAAAUGCCACCUUAGUUCUCUGCGGAAGUCCGAACCCCGAAAUGUGAACAUGGUCCUCUUAGAUGCAGAAAUCUUUGACAUACCUGAAGAAGGGCCGACCCCUGAAGAAGGGAGAGACGUCGAAAUGAUAGAUAUCACCACAGAAGGAACCACUCCCGAACAACGAGCAAUAAGGGGUAAUCCUGGACCCUAGGAUAAUAGAAGCUGAAUCCCAGGCUGCCCCAGUCGAAGAAUUGGAACCCUUUGAAGUAGAUCCGACAGAUCCCAUGAAGAUACUUUUGGUGGGAAAAGAAUUGGGUUUGCGAAACAAGCAGAAGUUAAUGAACUUCCUCCUAAAAAACUUGGAUAUCGUUGUCUGGAAACACGGUCACAUGGUGGGCAUCGAUCCCAAAGUCAACUGCCACCACCUCAACAUCAACCCCAAAUUCACCCCCCAUCGGCAGAAGCGAAGGGCUUUGAACCCAAAGCGAUAUGAAGCCUUGAAAGAAGAGGUUCAGAAAUUGAAGGACAACGGGUUCAUCUGGGAGGCAGUCUACCCAAAAUGGAUAUCAAAUUUGGUCCUGGUAAAGAAGCAUAAUGACAAAUUGAGUGUCUGCAUAGACUUUUCGAACCUCAACCAAGCAUGUCCGAAAGAUAGUUUCCCACUUCCCAAAAUCAAGCAGCUCGUAGACGCCACUGCAAGCCACGAGUUACUAAGUUUCAUGGACGCCUAUUCAGGGUACAACCUGUAAUGCCCCAAAAAUUUUAGAAUAAAAUUUAUUUAUUUUAUAUAUUAUAUAUUUACAUUUUUUUAGGUUGAGGACUAAAAUGAAAAAUGUUUUAAAUUCCUAUUUUAUUUGAUCCAAAUAAUUAGAUGUCGUUAGAGCGAGAUUUAGUAUAUCGAUAUUGGACUUUUUUUAAAGCUUGUAAUUAAUUAGAAGUCUUAGACUUGAAGAAAAAAUUAUUUUGGAUAAGAUUACGUCAAGUUAGAACCAAAUAAAGGAAAACAAUGAUAAAUAGAAUUUUAAUUUAAUUAAUAAUCCUUAAUCAAUCCCUUUCUUACUGUAAUGUGUUUAAUUUGAUAAUGGGAAAUUCUAAUUCUACUUUGAUUUAAACUCCACUUACAGUUAUUUAGUUGAAUUAGAAUGGUGUAUCUUAGGUGAUUAGGAUAAAAUCUAUAAAUCCUCCCUGAUUACGGACAUUCGGCAGACAAUUUUUGUAGCCUUAAAUCAAUACCCCAAUCUGCCCAGCAAGCCAAUUCUUUAACGGAUGCCAAAACAAUUCUUUUUGCCAAUUCAUCUUUGAAAAUGUUUUUGAAAUCAAAAUAUUACCCACCCACUGAACGCAAGAGCAGAGAGAUUUAGGGAAAGUUUCGAAACGUGCAUUCAUAAUUCUUUUCAAAAAUUUGUUUCAUCUAUCGAGGUAAGAUACAUAUGUGUAAGUUGUUUUCAUUUCUGUAUGCUUUUAUAUGCAAUUAAAUAUGCGUGGAUUGCUAGUGGACCUUCGGGUUCUAUAUAAAGAGAAAUAAAAUCCUACGAGAUAUAAGAAGACCUAAGAUGAGUGUGUCGCUUGAUCACCGAUAUACUCCAUAAGAGUAGAGCGGUAUAAAAUAUAGAUUUUCUUAUUAUAUAUCUGUAUAUGGAAAUCGCACGUAUCUUACUGGGUAUUUUCGAAUACUCACUCUUGCAAUUUUUUACAGGUAGUUCGGGUCGAUUGGAAUUGUGGAAAGAUGGUGAUGCGGGCUGCUAAGUGGAUCAAAUGAAAAGAAAAAUAAAUGAGUUUGUUGUCUUUAAAUUUAUCAAUUAGUUUAAAUUUUGUUCCAAACGUGUUAUUUGAAUUAGUUAAGAGUUUAUGUUAUGUUUAGAUAACAUUUUCAUAUUUUAAAUUUAGAUUUAUAAAUGUUGCAGUUAUUCGUUUAAUAAAAAAAUUUAUUUUUAUAGUUCCGCACUUAAAAUAAAGAAAAAUGAGUUUUUCGUAACGUUCCGGAGUUAUAGAAAAUUGGGGCGUUACACAACCAAAUACCUAUGAACCCCUCCGACCAAAAACACACUUCAUUUGUUACUGAUUGAGGACUGUACUCUCACAAGGUAAGCCCUUCAGCCUAAAGAAUACCGAAGCCACAUACCAAAGGUUAGUCAAUGCAUUGUUCUUCGACCUCCUUGGGAAGACUAUGGAAGUAUAUGUCGAUGACAUGCUUGUAAAAAGUUUGAGGGCCAUAGAUCACACUGAGCACUUGAGAGAAGCUUUCGAGAUAUUAAGGAAGUACCGGGUGAAGCUGAACCUACAGAAUUGCGCUUUCGGCGUAGCCUCAGGGAAAUUUUUGAGUUACAUGGUUAAUCAGUGAGGAAUCGAAGCAAACCCAGAUAAAAUCAGAGCCCUGCUAAACAUGAGGUCCCCUUCGAAGCUCAAGGAGGUGCAAAGCUUGACAGGUCGACUUACUGCUUUAAGUCGGUUUAUCUCAAAGGCAACAGACAACUGCCUCCCGUUUUUCAAAGUCCUCAAAGGAGGAAAGAGGUUCCAAUGGAACAAGGAGUGUGAAGCGGCUCUCCAAGGACUGAAUGAGCACUUGGGGGCAACCCCCUCCUCUCUUUACUUGGCUAUCUCAACAGAAGCUGUGAGUUCAGUCCUUGUAAGGAAAGAAGAAGGAACACAACUGUGGAUUUAUUAUGUGAGCAAGGCCCUGUCGCCAACUAAGUCAACUUGCUUUUUCAUUGAUGACAGCCUCCAGAAAAUUGAGGCCUUAUUUUUAGGCCCACACUAUACAGGUCUUGAUGAGCCUGUCGCUUAAGUGAAUAUUGCAGAAGUCAGACUCAUCGGGUAGGUUGAUGAAAUGGGUAGUAGAAUUGAGUGAGUUUGACAUCUCAUACUAGCCCAGAGUUUCGGUAAAGGGACAGGCGCUAGCAGAUUUCAUUGCAGAGUUAGUUGAAGUUCAAGGUGAUAGCAUGGAUGUAGAACCUUCGACCCCCCUUCCCCACUCUAGAGUCUCCUCAUCGAUGGGUCCUCAUGCAAAUUAAAAGGUUGGUGGUUAGUUGCGAUUCACAACUGGAGGUUAGCCAAGUUAGAGGCGAUUUCACCGCGAGGGACAAGAGCAUGGCCUCCUACUUGAAGAAAGUAAAGGAACUCAAUCCAUGCUUCGAAGGAUUCGAGCUUAACCGGAUCCCUAGAAUCGAAAACACGAACGCCAACGCCUUGUCAAAGUUACCUAGCAGCAAGGACUCCAAACUACUCAAGGUUGUCUGCAUAGAGCACCUUCCUAACCCUAUCUAAGGGAACCCCUCUAUAUCUAAGGAAGCCAGGUUAUGUGGAUCGAAGGAACCCCUCUACGGAUGCAACCAUUUAUGGAUUAUCUCAAGGAUCAGACACUUUCUGAAGAUAAAGAAAAUGCUCGCAAAUUAAGGUGUAAGGCCGCCCACUACAUACUUCAGAAUGGUGUACUUUAUAAAAGGGGAUUCUCAUCAUCCCUCCUACGGUGCAUAGUGGGAAGAGGCUGAAUAUGUGCUACGAAAAAUCCACGAAGGGAUUUGCGGCAACCAUAUUGCCGGAUUGGCAUUGGCACACAAGGUAUUAAGAUAAGGGUACUAUUUGCCGACCUUGAGGAAAGAUGCAGUGAAGUUAGUCAGCAACCACCCCAGGAACUGACGUUGUAUCACCAAAUGGGGUAUCAACCUUAUGGGUCCUCUCCCAAAGGGGAGAGGAGGCUCCAACGACGCCAUAGUUGUCAUUGAUUACUUCACGAAAUGGGUCGAAGCCAAACCCCUCGCCAAAAUCACUAAGGCCAACUCCUCUAAAUUCAUCUGGAAAAACAUCAUCUACAGGUUCGGAAUCUCCCAUUCAAUUGUAUCGAACAACAGCAUAUAGUUUGAUACCAAAAAGGUUAGAGAAUUAUGUAACGAGUUAGGGAUUAAAAAGCAUUUCUCCUCCCCCAUCACCCUUAAGCUAACGGUCAGGUGGAAGCGGUGAAUAAGACCAUCAAAGACAUCCUAAAAAAGAAGCUCGACGCAUCAAAAGGAGCCUGGGUGGAUGAGCUCCCAUGUAUUGUAGUCUAUUCACACCACCAGCAGGACUACAACAGGGGAGACCCGGUUUUCUAUGGCCUAUAGAGCUAAAGUUAUGAGUCCCAUGGAAGUAGGACUACCAUUACUGAGGCGUUUGCACUUCAAUGAGAUAUCAAGUGAGGAGAACUUGAGUUGCGAGCUGGAUUUUCUCGAAGAGAAGAGGGACAACUCUCAAAUCAAGUUAGCUUCUUAUCAACGAAAAAUGGCCAAGUACUACAAUGCUAGGGUAAAGAAGAAAUCGUUCCUCCAAGGAGAUCUUGUGUUAAGGAGGGUUUUCUUGUCCUCAAAAAAACUUGGCGUUGGAACGCGAACGCUAGGGCCAAACUGGAAAGGCCCCUACCAUAUCACUAAUGAGGUCCGACCAAGGUCAUUCAAGAUAGAAGACCUAAGCGGAAAGAAAUAGCCCCAUGGAAUGUUGAACAUCCGCGAAUGUACUACCAAUGAUUGGACCAACACUAUUCUCCUGUAAUGUCCAACUUUUGUAUGCUUCUCACCAUCAAUGAAAUGCACUAUUUUUCUUAGCACUGUGCGAAUGACUCAUUCAAUGAUAGAUCGUUACUUAUAUGACAAGUUCAUAUACUGCGAACUGGUUAAGUAAUUUGUCUAUGGCGAGCCCAUAGUUUUCUCCAAGUUAAGUUUAUAUGACAUAAUUCAUAUAUUGCGAACCGGUUAAGUAAUUUCUCUAUGGCGAGCCCAUAGUUUUCUCUAAGUUAAAUUUAUAUGAGAAGCUCAUAUAUUUCAAAUUACUUAGUUCAGUUCGUCUGUAGCGAGCCGAUAGUUUUCUCCAAGUUAAGUUUACAUGACAUAAUUCAUAUACUGCGAAUCGGUUAAGUAAUUUGUCUAUGGUAAGCCCAUAGUUUUCUCCAUGUUAAAUUUAUAUGACAAGUUCAUAUACUACAAAUUACUUAGUUCAGUUCGUCUAUGGCAAGCCCAUAAUUUUCCCCAAGUUAAUUUAUAUGAUAAGCUUACUUACUGCAAAUUACUUGGGUCAGUUUGUCUAUAGUGAGCCCAUAGUUUUCUCUAAGUUAACGUUUAUAUGAUACAAUUAAAUAUACAACAAAUUACUCAAGUCACAUCACUAAUUUGGAAAAUUAUAAACGGUGAAACGAGGCAAGUGCAGAACGAAUAAAACUUUCACAAAAAAACAGGGCUACAUACAUCACCUUCGGCCAUAUAAAGGAUUACAAAAAUAAAGCCCUAAUCUAUGUCCUCUCCACCAGGUGCUUCCUCAUCAGCAGGGGUGGAAGGUUUAGCCAAAAUAAGAUCCCUGACGAAGGUUAAAUCCAACUCGAGAUGAGGUUUGCAAGCCUCUUAAAAACCUCAUUGUAGGCAACCCCCUCCAAUACAUCCCCAGGUUGUCAUACUCAGCUGUUUCAUGAAAGUGGGCGAUGUAUUCUUCGAUGGCCACACUACUCCUUCAAGUUGUUGCUUCAAACUUGCGACUUCGAAAGUGAGCCCCUCAACUUAGGCCUUCAACUUUGCUCUCUCCUUAUUAGCCUCUUCUAGGGCAGUCGAGGCAAUCUUUUGCAGAUUAUCAGAAUUUUCAGCCCACUUCAUUAAUACGUUCACCUCAGACUGGCAGAGGUGGACUUCUGCAGUUAAGUCUCGAUUAGCUAAGUCAAUUGCUCCACUAUCGACUCCAGUUCGGCAUGCGUCAAUUUUGAAGCCUCAAGGGCCUCUUCCGCCAUAGCAAUCUCGUCCUUUAACUUUUGAGCAUCUGCAACAACCUCAAAUGUCUUUCGCUCAAACUCCCUGUUCGCUUUUUGGAGCCUUCUCAUGUCCAUUUGUACGUUCACAAAGAAGCCCUGCGAACUAGCAUGCAUGGCAAGUCCGACCUCCAUCAUGUCCAUUGCAUCACAUGUCUCUGCACAAUUGAAGUACUUCUCCAUCCAAUACUUAUAACAUAAACUUGUUGCUAACUGAACCUCAGCAGAAAUGGGUUCUGCCUCGAUGGAUUUCUUCAACGACACGUCUAUGGUCAUCUAGAGCUUUGGUGGAGGUGGAGGCCCUUCAUUCCUAGAGAUGACCAACCUCUUUUUUCUCUCAGAGAUCGGUCCCAGUUCACCAAAUACUCAACCAUAAAAGACCCAGGGGAUAGGAGAUGAAAUAGAAGAACAGAAAUUUAUGAAAAUAGGUACUUUUAUUGAUAAUUGAAGAAGAUUUAAAUAUUACAAAAAUAAUUGAAAGAUAUUUGAGAGAACAAAUUACAAAGAAAAGUAAAACUUCUUCUUGCUGAAUUCGCUCUGCUUGAAAUGAAAUCUUGAACUCCUUUUAUAAUGAAGUCCGGACUUGAAAUUUCUUUCAUUUUGAAGAAAGAAUCUUGAAAAAGGAAGUGGACGACAUCAUAAUGGAGCAUCUUGAAAAGCAGCAUCAACUUUAGUCAAGAGUUUCCAAUUUUUGACUUCCUUUAAUAAAGAUAAUCUUUUUCUUUAUUAAAGUAGAUAUUGAUGUCUGACACAAAGUUGAUGGGAAUCUCGACAAAUUUGGCACCACCGAUUUUGAAUUGGACAAAGGUUGAGAAGAAUUUCUCUUGCUUGAUAGACCCUUGAAUGUCUCAAUUCAUCAAGAAAACUGGGUCCAUGUAGUCAUUUUGAAGUUUUGUUUGAAGCCUUCUUUUGAACUUUUGCAGCUUUCUCUUGAGCAAGAAACUCCUCAUAGUCACCUAGAUCAACUAAGUCAUCACCAUUGUCAGUUUCUUGAGAAUAUUGAGAUUCCUCUUCUUGAUCAGAUUCAUUUGUUUUUGAAGAUCCUUGUUUAGAAAUUUGAUCAUAAAUUUCUAAUAAUUCUUUAGGAUCUUUACAUUUUGAUAACAUUGCAACGAUUCUUUGUUUUUCAGUCAAAAAAUCAGCUUGAUUUUCUUGUUCUUUCUUUGAAAAUUUAGGUACACCCAAAUUUCUUUGUUCUUGUAUCCAUGAUUGAACUGCUUUUGGACAACAGUUUGUUUCUUUGAACUUUGCCCACCAUUUGAUCUUGAAUCUUCUUGUAAUUUUGUGGGUUGAGAACAUAUCUUGAAGAUUUUCAUAAUGGAAAAAAUCCCAGCAGAAAAUCCAUGAAACUUUCAUAUUGAAAGCAAAUUGAAACAAAAGAUUUUCUUGAGGCUUGAGAAAAGGUUUUGCCUCUCUUUUGAAGUAUUCAUAUCCUUGAAGAACUAGACUGGGCAAAAUUUGUUCUUCAAGUCCAUGAUACUGAAACCAAGUUUGAAACCAACUCGGAAAAUGAGGGUUACAAUUUUGAUUAAAAUUGAUAAACCAAGAAUGGAUAACAGGCCUUAAAAGAAGAGCCUUAUACCAAGCAUUCUGAUAAUCAAAAUAAUUGAAAGUAUCUUGACAAGUGAAAAAUGUUUUUGAAAGAUUUAAUCUUUUUUCUUCCCAAGGAUUCUGUCCCCAGUCUUCGUAAGACAGAACUCUUAAAAUUGAAAUUUUUGAAAACAUAAUAUUUGAUUUGUCUCUUGGUUCAGGAGUAUGAAAGAUUAAUGCAGAACCAGUCAAAGAAAGAAUGGUUUCGUAAUAAUCUCUAGUUUUUUGGAUAUUUGAAGGCAUGAACCAAAAAUUUUCUGGAAGAAUUAAUUCAAGGCAAUCAUCAAGACCACCAUAUCUAUUGAUCCAAGAACUUUCCAUUGUAAGAACACAAUCAGAAAGAUUCUUAGUAAAAUAUUUGAAAGAAUUUGGAGGAUUAAUUUGAGGAAGUUUGCCAGAACUUUGAACGGCUUUUUUGAAGUUUGAAGGGGUUGAAGACUCAGCUUUUUGCUUUUGAUCAGUCUUUUUGACAAAAGUUGAGAGGGUAUUUGAGGAAGAUGAAACUUCCUUUUGAUCCUUUGGGGGAUCUUCAAAGAAAGGAAUUGAACUUUUCUUCUUUCUUGAAGUUUUUGUUUGAAAAGGAUUUUGAGAAUCCUCUUCUUCUUCGACUUUCUUAGCCCAACUCAUUUUUCUCACUCUUUUGAAUAAACUCUCUUGUGAGGAAAUCUGCCAAGAAGUUUGAUUUUCCUUGAAUAUAUAGAAUUUCGAAAUCAAAACAGGACAAAAUUGCCUGCCACCUUGCAAAGAUUUGUUUGGAAACAAGAUUUUUUACAUCUUUUUGUAAAACAUCUUUUGAAGCUUUGCAAUCAGUUUUCAAAAUAAAUUUUUUAUUGAUCAAAUCAUCUUGAAAUUUGGAAAUACAGAGAACUAUUGAAAGAAUCUCUUUCUUGAUGGUUGAAUAGUUGAUUUGAGGUCCAGACCAGACUCCACUAUGAAAUCUGACUAACUGUUCUUUUGACGAUCCUAGGGGUAAUUGCUUUAACACACCACCGAAUCCUAUAUUUGAGGCGUCUGUUUCGACAAUAAUUGAGGCUGUGGGGUCAAGAAUUGAUAGACAGGGAAUAUUUUUGACCAAUUUUUUCACCUUUUGGACUGCAUGCGUACACUCGUGACUCCAUGGGUCAGGGUUAUUUUGUAAUCUUUUGAAUAAUGGGGCACAGAUUUGACGAAUAUCUUUGACAAAAUCAGCCACAUAAUUGACACAACCUAAAAAACGUUGCAAACUUGUUUUUUCUUUAAUUUCAUCUGAAAAUUUGUCAGUGAAAUCAAGACUUCUUUGAAUUGGAAUAAUUGAAGAGUUUUGAAUAGUAUGACCAAGAAAACGAAUUUUUGUCUGAAACAAAACAAUCUUUUUAGCAGAGACUGCUAAACCAUUUUUCUUGAUAACAUGUAUGAAUGUAUGAAUAUGCUUUAAAUGUUGUUCAAUAGAUUUUGAAUAAAUGAGGACAUCAUCAAUGUAAACAAUAAUGAAGUCCGAGAAUGAAUUAAAAAUAUCAUUCAUGAUUUUUUGAAAUUCAGAAGGAGCAUUUUUGAGACCAAAAGGCAUAACAUUCCAUUCAUAUUGUCCGAAAGGAACAUUAAAUGCAGUUUUGUAUUUAUCUUCUUCCUUAAUUUGAACUUGCCAAAAUCCUGACUUCAUGUCAAAUUUUGAGAAGAUGAUAGCUUUUGAAAGACGAUUCAGAAGAUCUUUCUUCUGAGGAAUAGGAUAUCGAAUCCAUUGAAGAGCAGUGUUGAGUGGUUUGUAAUUGAUAACAAGGCGUGGAACACCUCGUUCAAUUUCAGCAGAAUUGUUAACAUAGAAUGCAAAACAACUCCAUGGAGAUUUACUUGGGCGAAUUAAAUUCUUUUCAAGUAAAUCAUUGAUUUCCUUGAUACAAAAAUCAAGUAAUUCUUUUUUCAUUUAAAUAGGACGAGAUUUUGUAGGAAUAUUAGAUUCAUGAAAAUCGGAAUUGUAAGGAAGAGAAACAAUAUGCUUCUUCCUAUCCCAAAAAGCAUUUGGAAUAGUUGAACAAAUCUCUUGUUCAAUUUUCUUUUGUAAAUUUGAAAUAAGAUUUUUGAUAGAAGAAUCUUCUUCUAAUCUUUUUUCAGUUUUUUGAAAAGAAAUUUCUUCUUUAAGAAAUUUAACAUGAUUUCUUUUUAAAUUAAUAUUAUGAAUAAUUUUUGAAAUUGCAGCUUCUUUUAAAGAAUUAACAUCUUUAUAAGACGGAGGGUUUGAAAAUUCAAAAUGAAUUUUCUUUCCAAAAAUUUUUGUAGUUAAUCCUUUAUAAUCAGCUUUAAAAGGAUAUAUUUGAACAAUAAAAGGAGUACCAAGAAUAACAUCUUGAUCCAGAUCUUUUACCAAAUAAAAAACAUUUUUAAAACAAAUAUUUGAAUUACAAACAUGAGCUUUUGAAAUUUUGUAAUUAAUAUUGAGUUUUUUACCACUAGCACCAUAAAGNNNNNNNNNNNNNNNNNNNNNNNNNNNNNNNNNNNNNNNNNNNNNNNNNNNNNNNNNNNNNNNNNNNNNNNNNNNNNNNNNNNNNNNNNNNNNNNNNNNNNNNNNNNNNNNNNNNNNNNNNNNNNNNNNNNNNNNNNNNNNNNNNNNNNNNNNNNNNNNNNNNNNNNNNNNNNNNNNNNNNNNNNNNNNNNNNNNNNNNNNNNNNNNNNNNNNNNNNNNNNNNNNNNNNNNNNNNNNNNNNNNNNNNNNNNNNNNNNNNNNNNNNNNNNNNNNNNNNNNNNNNNNNNNNNNNNNNNNNNNNNNNNNNNNNNNNNNNNNNNNNNNNNNNNNNNNNNNNNNNNNNNNNNNNNNNNNNNNNNNNNNNNNNNNNNNNNNNNNNNNNNNNNNNNNNNNNNNNNNNNNNNNNNNNNNNNNNNNNNNNNNNNNNNNNNNNNNNNNNNNNNNNNNNNNNNNNNNNNNNNNNNNNNNNNNNNNNNNNNNNNNNNNNNNNNNNNNNNNNNNNNNNNNNNNNNNNNNNNNNNNNNNNNNNNNNNNNNNNNNNNNNNNNNNNNNNNNNNNNNNNNNNNNNNNNNNNNNNNNNNNNNNNNNNNNNNNNNNNNNNNNNNNNNNNNNNNNNNNNNNNNNNNNNNNNNNNNNNNNNNNNNNNNNNNNNNNNNNNNNNNNNNNNNNNNNNNNNNNNNNNNNNNNNNNNNNNNNNNNNNNNNNNNNNNNNNNNNNNNNNNNNNNNNNNNNNNNNNNNNNNNNNNNNNNNNNNNNNNNNNNNNNNNNNNNNNNNNNNNNNNNNNNNNNNNNNNNNNNNNNNNNNNNNNNNNNNNNNNNNNNNNNNNNNNNNNNNNNNNNNNNNNNNNNNNNNNNNNNNNNNNNNNNNNNNNNNNNNNNNNNNNNNNNNNNNNNNNNNNNNNNNNNNNNNNNNNNNNNNNNNNNNNNNNNNNNNNNNNNNNNNNNNNNNNNNNNNNNNNNNNNNNNNNNNNNNNNNNNNNNNNNNNNNNNNNNNNNNNNNNNNNNNNNNNNNNNNNNNNNNNNNNNNNNNNNNNNNNNNNNNNNNNNNNNNNNNNNNNNNNNNNNNNNNNNGAUUGUUGACAAUCUUCUCUUUGCAUGAUACGUGUUAAAAACAUAUCUUUAUACCAUCUAAAAUCUUGAAGUUUUGGACAUCUUAAAUUCAUAAGAAUAUCAUUUUGAAAUUGAAUAUAAUUUUCUGGAGUACCAAUAAAAUGUUAGAUAAUAGCUAAUCCAAGAACGGAAUAACUAUCAUUAAUGUCUUCUCCUUGUUCAUUUUUAAUAAUAUUAUUAUUUUCAUCACGUUUGACAGCAGAAAAAAUAAUAUUUUUUGAAGUAAAUGAGAGGUAAUUUUCCCACCAUUGACCAAGCUGUCCAGUGAAUCCAAGAACAAUAUUAUUUGUAGCUUGAAGCCUUGUGGCUCCUUUUGCCAAAAAGGUUUUAUAACAAAUGGUCAUUUGUCCUAAAAGAUUAAUAAUUUGAUGUUCAGUAAGGCCAUCUAUGUUCCAUUCCACACCGGAAGAACCAUCGUAUGAUCUUUGAGGAGGUAACUUUUCUUCAAAAAGUUGAUCUGGGAAUGAAGGACGAGGAUAAAAUUUUGGAAUAUUUUGCUAAUCAGAUUUUCUAAGUUUGUUAAUCUGAUCAAAUUUUUCAUCAGUAAAUUGAUUUUCGAUUUCCUCAAAAUCGAUUGUAUUGAUAUUUUUUGAAACAUGAAAAUUUUUUAGUUGAUUAACAAGUUCUGAAAGAACUUCUUUUUCUGUUGAAAGAGAUUGUGUAGAUUUUUCAAAAGUAGGAAGAAUAUCAUCAUUUUUGAAAAUCGGAGAUGAUGAAGAAGGUUUUGAAAUAUUUUUAUCUUUACUUUUACUGUCUCGAUAUUCUUUAAAAGAAUCUUUUGGAACAGUAGAAGUUUCAGAUUCAGAAUUUGAUUCGAUACGAUUAAGUUGAGAACAAACAGAUUGAAGAACAAUAUUAGUAAAAUUGUUCUGAGCUUGAAUAUUUUUGAUAUCCUUAGCAACAACUUGAGAUUCAUCAAGUCGUUCUUUAGAAUUUGAAACUCUUUUGAGUGGAGAUGCAAGAAUUUCAGUUUUACCAUGGGUAUAUGAAAUGUCUUGUAAAGGAGGAUGAAUAGAUUGAAAAGUAUUUCCGUCAGGAGUUUUCCAUGAUUUUGAAGUAUUUUUUGUAGUACAAAUUUGAGGUUUUUCUGGUUGUUUUCCAAAAACUUUGAUUUGGAUCCAAUCAUAAAAACUUAAUUCUGUAGAAGAUUUAAAAUAAUCUUCCCAAAAUUGUUCUUUUUCUUUUGAAGAAAAUUGAUGUCUAAAAAUUUUUCGAAAAUUUUUUAUUUGAAUAUCUUGAUCAUUUUUGAAUUCUUUUCUUCUAUCAAUUUCAGAAGAAAUAACAUUACAUUGAUGAUCAAAAUCAGAAUUUGAAGGAGGAACCAUAUCAGAAAGAGUAGGAGACCCUGGUUGCUCAGUGUCUUCUUCUUUUUCUUUAGGUUGAUAAAAGGGAUUUGGAAUAUUAGGAGUGAAAUCUACUCCUUUAAAAGAUGUUGAGGUAGAGUUUCUUGAAGGUUGAAAAGAAUUCUUAGUUCUUUCUUCAGAUCUAUAUGAUCUAAAAGAGUUAGAUCUAGGAAUUCUAGAUGAAGAUCCUUGAAAAAUAACUUUAGCUUUUCCAUCAGAAAAAGUUAAAAUUUCAUUUGGAGUUGAAUUUGUUUGAGCUGGAAUUGGAGCUUGAAUAUUAUCAAAAUUCCAUUCUAAAUUUCUGGAUUGAAGAUUCCAAGGAAUUCUUUUAGGAAUUUCGACACUUGAAUGAAAAGGAUUGACUUCAACUAAAAGACUUUCUUCUUUUGGAGAGGAUCUGAGAGCACCAAUAUUGAGUUGAGUGUUCAUGAGUUUGUAAUAUAUCCUGUAUAUUACAGCAAAAGCAUUUGAUCGACUAUCAAACUCAAGAUUUCGAGUUUGAAUAUGAAGAUUUAGAGCGUUUAGAACUGCUCCAUCAGAUAAUUUUAUUGAAAAAUUUGGAUAACAAUUUGAAAAAACUGGACCACUUUCAAGAUUUGAUUCAAGAAGUGAAAGUAGAGAGUUUUUGAAGUUGAGAUGUCUCUUAUCUCUAAGAGUAAUAAGUAUUGGAAUGUCUAAACCAAGUCUAAACAAUGGUUUAACAGCAAUUUGAAUUAAACCAACAUGAAGAUAUUUAAAUCUUUUUCUAUGAGAUUCGAUUGAUUCUUUUGAAAAUAAAUUAAUGAAUGCAUUUGAACUAUUAAUUGAAAUAGUUUGUUCAAAAGUUUUGAUAACAUAAUUUUGAGUAAAAUCAAAUUUUCCUAUUUCAUAGAUAGAAUGUUUGUCUAUCUUUGGAAUAGUCCAAUUUUGAAGUUGUUGUUCAAUCUUAGCUAUUUGAAAUUCAUUUGAAUUGGAAUCAUUCGAUACAGAUGCAGAUGAACUUGAUGCAUUAUCAACUUCUUCUUCACUUUGAAAAACAUUUGAACUAUUUUCAUUUUGAUUUUGUGAUCUAUUUCUAGACCUAGAUCUCCUUAGCCAAUUUGAAACCGAAGACAUAAUUGAAUAAAUGAAAUCAAAUUAAAAUUACACAAUAAAAACAGUAAAAUAGGGCAGAUUGGUUCUUACCAAGCCUACAAAUGGGACCACCCAACGGGACCACCUAACACGGCUGACCAACGUCUACAGGGCUGACCAACGUCUAUUCAGCGGACAUCCAGGAAUUCAAACCGAUUAAACCUAUUGAACAGUAACUAUAGUGUAAGAUUAAACUAAUCUCACUUGUUCACUUAUGGCUCUGAUACCAUAAAAGACCCAGGGGAUAGGAGAUGAAAUAGAAGAACAGAAAUUUAUGAAAAUAGGUACUUUUAUUGAUAAUUGAAGAAGAUUUAAAUAUUACAAAAAUAAUUGAAAGAUAUAUAUAUAUAUAUAUAUAUAUAUAUAUAUAUAUAAAUUAAUUGAAGUUAAUUGUAAGAAUGCAAUAACAAAAGUUAAAAACAUAAAUAAAAAAUGAAAACAAAAAAAUGGACGUUAAUUCUAAUUAACGAAUGGUGCGGUUAAAAAAAUUUGUGGGGUGAAUAUAAUUAUAUAUAAAAAAUUAAAGGGAAAAUUUCAACAUAUCAUUAGAGUAAUAGGGUAGAGCAAAAAAAAAUCACGAGCUAGUCAAAUUGAAUUGAAACUACAAUUCUGAAACAAUUUAUAUCCACGUGUACCCUUCAAUUUUUCGAGUUUAGUUUAGAUUUUGAAAGUUAAAAAACUAUUUGAAAUCAAAUCGAACCGUUCACCCAAUUUAAAAAAAUAUUAAUUCAUUUGUACUUCAACAAAUUCAAUUUCUAUCGGUUUCAAUUGAUUUUUCAGAAAAAUAAUAAUUUAUGAUAAUAAUUAUCGUCAAGGACAAUAUAUGAUAAUUAGUUGAAAAUUAAGAAUAAAAAGUUGAAACAUAAAUGCUACAAUGAACAAAAAUUGAGAGUUUUACGUAAAAUUAAAAUGUGAUACAAUAAUAAUUUUUGGUGCCAAUAUAAUAAAGCUUUUGAAAAUUCAAUAUUAUCGUAGAUCUUUUAUAAAUUUCAAAUUUCUGUAACAUAUUUAGAAAUUCAAACAAAUAUAUUCAGCAUUAGAUUUUCCAAACUAGGUCUUCCCUUUCUGCAGCUAAAAAGAACUUGAAAUUCUAAAAUCACUAAGGUGUUAGUUAUCCUACUUUGAGAGGUCAACAAUUUUAUUUUAUGCGGCUUAGAUAACAUGCAGCCAUGACCAAAGUAAGAGGCAUUUAAAUCGUUGUAAAUUUAAAUUAGCUGUAAAUUAUUCUAAUUGUAAUUUUUGACUUGACAGCACAAUAAACAGAUACUGUUUAACUCAUCUUACCAAACAUGUCGAGAUUUCAAGCAGAAUCCCAAGUUGAAACUCAACUGAUACAAUCCAUAGAACAACCUUAGUAUCUAAAGAAUUUUGAGUUUCAGCAUGUAUGCCAUUCAGUUCUGUAAAACAUGCUUUUAACCGAAUUUAAAUUGUGAAACUUACUUGAAAAUCCCAAAAACGAGGUUGAAUUACUUGCCUAUUGAUUGCUUGCCUUCAACACCGUCUUGUACCCGCUUCUUGGUCAAAACUUAAUCAUCAAGAAAGAAGUUUGUUAUUCACAAUCCAAGAACCCAAUUAGAGAUAUAAUUUUUCCAAAAAUCAAGCCUCCACCCGCAUCCAAUUUUUACACUUUGAAAGAACCCGAAUUUUGAAUAUCCUUUUUGUUUUUUACUUUUAUGAAUUAUGAAGAAAUGAAGUUGAUGAUGGGAGUUAUGGGUGGUGGGGAGGUUAAAUUUCAAAUUCAACUUUCAACCCCUCCCUCCAAAAUUUUCUUCCAUGCAAACCGGGUCGGGUUGGGUCACAUGGGCGACCCGUUUUCUUCCAACAUCUCCCACUCGCACAUGAUUGGCUUGACCUGAUUCUAAUAUAAUAUCAAUUAAAUAAGUCUCAAAAUUUCCAAGUUCAUGCAGGUAAAUGGAUUAUGCGACCAGCGAGUUAAUUUAAGAGCACACAACACUAUACACCUGUAAGGGAUAUAUAGCAGCUCUGAAAGAGGAAUUAUAUUUCUCGUUAUACCCCAGAUAUAUUUUGUAACACUAGUUCCAGUAUUUUUGACCCCUCAAUUUAUUUUGGAACAUACUCAACUUUCUUAUUUAUAUUGUAUUCACAAUUGUGUUAUGAAAUUCAAAUAAUCAACACAAUUGUCCGACCGGUGAAUACAAGCUGAGGUGUUAGUUAAACAGUCUUCCUUUCCUACUUGAAUCCCUUCAUUUCAAAUCAGCCGCUUUCCUAGACAUAUCCCAUCAAACCGAAUCAACCACAGUUAUUGGGAACAUGCUAAAGUAGCAACAUUGAAAUAAAAUUAUGAGAAACAGUCAAAAGUCAUAAGCGUAUGUGAGGUCAAAUAUGCCUCAGAGAUUCACACAAUGAAGAAGCAGGGAUCAAUUCUUUCAUAUCUCAUUGGUCGUUAAAGCACAUGUCGUAUGAAACAUGUGUUACGAUAUUUUCUCCCUUUCUUAAUGUGUAUGUCAAAUCUCGCAAAUCAAAUACAUCGUAUAGAUCAUGGUUCAGAUAUUCCUCGAUAUCUAACAUGAGUUCUCCUCAUAUUUAUUCAUAUAGUUAAUCUUAAAUCAAGAACUCGAUCUGGCUGUAAAAACAGGUCUAAUGGAUAAAAAAAAUACAUACUAAUUACUUGUUGUAAUCUCAUCUUAAUAUCACAUCAAGGCGACUGGAUCAUGUACACAAUAUGAUCGCUAUGUCUCAUCUCAGCACACAUCAAAGUGUCUGAGGUGAUUGUUCGCGCGAGUGAACUAAUCUCAACCUGUUUGACAUACUUUAUUUGUGCAUAUGCAAUGGUAAUCUAAAAAUUACAAUAAAAGAUUACUCUUAACAUGUGAACUCAAAACAUUGUUCAUUAAUGGACAUAUAUGAAAAAGUUUACAUGGUAUACAAUUCAAAUUCUACGCAAUCCCAGAGAUUUAACAUGUGUCAUAAAAAUAUCUCCAGGGAUGGGUUUUGUAAGUGGAUCACUUACCAUUUGGUGCAUAGAAAUAUACUGCAAACUUACUUUCUUCUUGCCUAUGAUGUCUCUCACAAAAUUAUAUUUUGUAUCAAUGUGUUUGGUUCUACUGUGAUACUUGGGAUCCUUAGUAUAUGCAAUAACAAUCUGACUAUCAUAGUAGAUCAAUAUAAGUCCUAAUCACCACUAACGACUCUUAGAUGCUAUAAGAAUCUCCUUAACCAAACAGCUUCUUGUACUGCCAAAUCACAUGCUACGAAUUUUGCUUCCAUUGUGGACAAUGAAAUACAUGUCUGUUUAUUGCUACUCCAAGAGAUAGGGCCAUUAUUAAGCAAGAAUACGUAUCCCGAAGUUGAUUUACGCUCAUCUAGGUCUCCACCCCAAUCAGUGUCCGUGUAUCUUUUUAAGCACAAAUCAUUUCCUUGAUAACAUAGUGAGUAAUUAGCAAUACCCUUCAGGUAUCGCAAUAUCCUUUUAAUAGCUUUCCAAUGUUCUCUUCCAGGAUUGGAUUGAUACCUGCUGACCAGACCUAUGGCAUAACAAAUGUCAGGACGAGUACACAUCAUAGCAUACAUCAAGCUCUCAACCACACUGGAAUAUAGAACUCUAGACAUUUCUUCUUUUUCCUCGAGAGUUUUAGGACACAUGUGAAGACUUAAAGUUUGGCCUUUUUGAUACAGGAGUGCCAAUGGGAUUGCAAUUCUCCAUUUUGAAACGUUCAAGAAUUUUCUUUAUAUAUGGCUCUUGUGACAGAGCAAGAAGCCUCUUUGAACGAUCUCUAUGGAUUUUAACACCUAAUAUGUAAUCUGCUUCACCCAUGUCCUUCAUUUCAAAAUUUGAGGACAACCAUUUCUUAAUGAUUUUAAUAUACUCUUUAUCAUUCCCAGCCAACAAGAUAUCAUCUACAUAAAGACAUAAAAUUACAAAUUUCUCGUUGGACCUUUUCAAAUAAAUACAGUGAUCUUCAUCCAUCAUGACAAAGUUGUAUGAGAUAAUCGCUCUGUCAAAUCUCAAGUACCGCUGUCUAGAAGACUGCUUUAGGUCAUAGAUUGAUCUAUCCAAUUUACAAACUUUAUUCUCUUGACCUGUUUUAAUGAAACCUACUGGUUGUUGCAUAUAGAUUUAUUCAUCUAAUUUUUCAUUGAGAAAUGCAGUCUUCACAUCCAUUUGAUGUGAUUCUAAAUCUAAACGUGCCACGAUAGCUAAAAGUAGGCGAAUUGAAGUAAAUCUCACUACUGGCGAAAAGGUCUCUUCAUAAUCAAUAACCUCUUAUUGAGUAUAACCUUUUGCAACGAAGCGAGCCUUAUACCUCUCUAUAGUCCCAUCAGCUCUUCACUUUAUUUUGAGAACCCAUUUGUUCCCAAUGGCUUUUCGACCAGAUGAAAGAUCAACCAAGUCCUAGACCUGAUUUGAUUUCAUAGACUCCAUCUCUUCUUCCAUUGCAUUCUUCCAUUUUUCCUUUGCAGGACAUGAUAGAGCUUCUUGUACUGAACUUGGUUCUUCACUAUCUUCAGGAGAUACUAGGAAAACUUGCCCUUCAAUCUCGAAAUGACAUUUAGGCAUACUAGGAAAACUUGCCCUUCAAUCUCGAAAUGACAUUUAGGCAUACUUUUUCUAGUACUCUUACAAAGUGAAAGCUCCGAUGUGACCUCGUCACUUGGAGUUGGAGAUAAAUUACUCCCACUUGGAUUGACAGGUGGAAGUGUUUCCUCUUGCACCUCAGUUGAUCCAUCAAAUACAACUCUAUCAUCUAAUUCAUAUAAAGGUUCUCCCUUUUUAAUUUCUCCCCUACUAGGAAAAUCAUUCUCAAGAAAUGUCACAUCGCGUGACUCUAUCUCAGUUAUAGUCCCAUCUUGAUUUUCACAUAUGAACACAUAUCCUUUAAACUAGUCUAAGUAUCUUAUAAAGAUACACUUCUUACCUCGAGCACCCAAUUUUCCAAACUUACUUGAGGAAUCAUGGAUAUAGACAGCUGAUCCCCAAGAUCUAAGAGAACUUAAAUCAGGGGAUCUACCUGUCCAAAGCUAAUAUGGUGUAGUAGGUAUUGAUUUAGAAGGAACUCUAUUCAGAAUGUAGGUCGCAGUUAACAAAGCGUCUCCCCAAUAGGAAAUAGGUAAGUUAGCAUGCGCCAUCAUGGACCUCACCAUUUCUAGCAACGUUUUAUUCCUCCUCUCAGCAACACCAUUUUGUUGAGGUGUAUUGGGAAUAGUUAAUUCCUAAUGAUUCUCUUAUCAUCAUAUAGGUUUCUGAACUCUUCAGAUAGAUAUUCACGCCCUCGGUCAGUUUUCAAUGCUUUCACCUUUCUAUCUAUUUGAUUUUCUACCACAUUUAAAUAUCGUCUAAAGUAUUCCAAUACCUCCGACUUAUGAGAAAUCAAAUAGACAUAACAACACCGCAUAAAAUCAUCUAUAAAAGUAAUAAAAUAAGAGGAUCCAUAUCUUUCCCUCACAUUCAUUGGACCACAUAUAUCCGAAUGGACUAAUUGUAAUGGAAGUUCGGCUCUUAAAGAUUUACCUAAUGGUUUUCGUGUUAUUUUUCCAAUUAGGCAAUGUUCACAAGUAGGUAACGAAACCUUAGAGAUUGAACCUAGCAAGCCUUCUUUUGCCAACCUAUUCAUUCUCUCUUGUCCAAUAUGUCAUAAUCUAGCAUGCUAUACAGAUGUAUCAACAUUCAAAUCUUUAGAAGAAGAAGAAGAUACAUUCAUAGAAAAACAACGAACAACAUAAUAAUUAUAAGUGUUUGGAUCACAAUCCAACACUAAAAAGCCUCCUUCUACAUGUCCAGAUCCAUAAAAUACACCACGAUUGUUUAUACGAACAAAAUUACCACAAAAAUUCAAACCGAAACCUAAUCUUAAAAUAACAACAACGGAAAUUAAGUUAUUUCGUAUCCCCAGUGCAAAUAGGACAUCAUGAGGGAGAAUAGUACGCCCACCACGCAAAUGUAACUUGCAUGCACCGAUCCCUUUCACCUCCACUCUAUCAUCGUUGUCGACAUAUAUCCACUUUGUACCAGCUGGAAAUCGAUGAAACUCCACAAACGCUUCUCGAUCCCUGGUUACAUUGUCUCUCCUGAGUUUACAAUCCACAUAGGAUAAGAUUCAAUUAGCAUAACAUUGCUUGAAACAUAAACAGCACUACAAGAAGUAUUUAUAAGAGCUACCUUCUUUGGCUCAGGGCAUUCCCGAGGAAAGUGACCCAGUACUUAACAGUUGAAGCAUUUCAGCUUGUUCUUAUCUUUCUUCUUUCCAAACCAUUUACCUUUAUUAUUGCGCUUGUAUUUGUUCUUUUUAGAUCUCUGUCCAGUUUCUUUUCUCUUUCCUUUUCCCGCAUUUGAACCAGUUUUUCUUAGGUUUAAAGCCUGAAGUUUUUCCAGAACUAGAUUCAGUUACAAAAGCUUGUCCUAGAGAUUUAGCUGCACCAAGGCACUCAUCUUCUAGUUCCACAUGGCGGGCAGCAUCAACAAAUGUUUUGAUACUAUCAUUAUGAGUCAAAUUGACUUUCAGAUGUUUCCCAAUUAUCAAGAAGAGAGCGGAUCAAAGCCUGAACUUGUUGCUCAUCAGAGAGUAUAUGACCAGCUGACUUCAAUUCCUUAAUCAUAGUAGACAUGAUCCUCACAUGUUGUGUGAUAUUGUGAUUAGGAAGUUUCUUAUAAGUGUCAAAUUUAAUAGUCAGCUGCUUUAGUCUAGUCAAACUAGUACCACCGUAUUUCUCUCUCAAAUAUAUCCAAAUGUCAUGAGCAGUUGGAAAUUGCUCACACUCAUGUAUGAGAUCAUCCACCACGGAACUUACCAAAAUUGCACGAGCAGUGGAAUUUUUCUUUUUCCAUGUCUGGUAAAUUUCCUGAUCCCUUCUUUGUUGAGCAGUUUGACCCACCCCUGGGUCUUCCAUCACGUAGUUAAUGCCCUCAAGGCAAUCCUGUUCCUCCAGCACAUACCAAAUUGAAUGGCGAUAAAAUUUUAUGGCACCAAGUGUUAUAGUUAUCGCCAUUCAAUUUGUCACCUUUAUUUAGGUCAACUAUGAUAUUUUUAGAUGCCAUGGUCUAUCAAAAUAUUAGAGACAAUCAUAUAAAUGUCCAUUUAUGCACACAUCAUUUUGUGCUCAUGCAAAUUAAGUUUUAUGAUAAUUUCACAUUAGACACGGGGUCGAAAGUUCACUAAGUUCCCAAUCAUCAUCCAUUAUCCUAAUGUUACAUUAUUACAAAAUUAAUUUCAUAGCGAAAAAUCACAGGUUCUAAGUCAAAAUAACUUAAACUUUUUCACCCUUAGAACUUCCACCAAAGUAAAAGAUUGAUCAUGUACAAAAUUAAUAAGAUAUUUUGAAUAAAUCUGUCAUAUAUAAAACAUAAAUCAAAAUGUCAAAUAGGUACAUUCGAUCAUAUUAAACAUCUUCAAACAACUACUAAACAUGAGGAAUAAAAUUUCACAUUAUUCGAUGAUUUUGAACUAACCAUACAUAUCUAAAUUAAUCACAAAAUUCGCAUUUUCUGAAUCUCAUUUUGUCUUCAAGAUUCUGACCAAAUAACUGUAGCAUAGAGGUGGUGAAUUAUCUAAAGCUUCAAUAGCAACAUCAUGCCAAUAUUUAGGAAGCGUCCUCAUUAGAUGAUACAUACUUUCCACCUCACAUAUAUGAUGUCCCAAAUGUAUCACUUCUCGACGUAUCCCUUCGUGAUAUUUUAUGUGCUGUACUAGGUUAUGUCACGGAUCCAUUUCAUAGUUUCUAUAAGCACAUAAUUUUUCAACACGUUCCACAUCCCGUGCUCUACUAGCUACUCCUCUAAUGAUGCUAAAAACACGUGUUGAUCCAGCCAUAUCUGAUCAAGCACAAUAAUUGAAAAACUAGUCACAAUGGAUCGCAUAACCUAAUCGAGAUCCACCACUCAUGAAUGUAUAGAAAAUGUGGUAUAUAAAAUACUUUCAGAGUAUUAUUCAUUAAAAAAAUGAGAACACAAAAAAAGGGCUCCCACUAGGCAAAUACCACUUAACAACACCUAACAAAAAUAUUCUUGAUUUUUUUUUAUUAUUUCAGGAUUUAAUCAAGUCCCAAAAUAUUGUAUAUAUAAAUGUUUUUGAUUACUUGAAAAUUAUUUUAAUUGCAUAAAAAAAUCAAGAAUAUUCGAGGGACCAAUUUGUAAUCUUUUAAAUUGAAUUUGGAAUAAUCAAUUUCCAAAAAAAUAUAUCAUUUUUGGACCAGCACACAACUUUUCAAAUUGGUAUUGGAAUAAAUAUCAUUAAAAAGUGUUGGGAAUAAAUAUUACAUUUUGUAAGAUUUGAGGGACUAACAUGCAAUUUUUCAAAUAUGUUUAACAUUCAAAAGUGUGGGGACCAACAUGCAAUUUUCCAAAUUACAUUUGGAAUAUUUAACAUUCAAAAGUAUGGGGACCAACAUGCAAUUUUCCAAAUUUCACUUACAAUAUUUUAGGGACCAACAUGCAAUUUUUUUAAAAUUGGAAUAUUGAAUUCCCACCUUCUACUACAGUUUCAGUUUCAAUUUUUUUUUUUCGGGUUAACAGUUUUUUUUUUUCAAAUUCCUAGUGAGAAUUCGGAGGGCAAUAGCUUCCUCAAUUCAAGGCCAAAUUUUAUGUUAUUUAUAUCGUUGGAAAGGUUUCGAGAAGAUCUAUCUAACCAUAUAAAAUAGGCAGUGUGAAACUUAACGUGAAAGAAAUUAUCAUGUGAUGAAGUUUCGAUUUUCUCAACUAGGGUUUGAUUUUUCUCCCAAAAUACAAAUCCAAAUGAAGUGAAAUUUUUCAGAUAUGUUCUCCAUAACAUCAUGAACAUACAGUAUAAAUUUCAUCAAUUUAUAUGAAGUAUAUCAAAAUUCGACAUUAACGACAUUCAAGGUUUCAAAGAAAACGGGAAUUCAUGCAUUUCAUUCAUUCUAAAACAUUUACAGCAUGUAUUUAAGUAAGAAAACAACCUACUUAGGCUCUGAUACCAAUGUAAAACAUGUUUUCAUGCUUUUAACCAAAUUUAAGUUGUGAAACUUACUUGAAAAUCCCAAAAACGAGGUUGAAUUACUUGCCUAUUAAUUGCUUGCCUCCAACACCGCCUUGUACCCGCUUCUUGGUCAAAACUCGAUCACCAAAGAAGAAAUUCGUUGUUCACAAUCCAAGAAACCAAUUAGAGAUGUAAUUUUUCCAAAAAUUAAGUUUCCACCGGCAUCCAAUUUUUACACCUUGAAAGAACCCGAAAUUUUAAUAUCCUUUUUGUUUUUUGCUUUUCUGAAUUAUGAAGAAUGGAAGUUGAUGAUGGGAGUUAUGGGUGGUGGGGAGGUUAACUUUCAAAUUCAACUUUCAACCCCUCCCUCCAAAAUUCACUUCCAUGUAAAUCGGGUCGGGUCAACCCACAUGGGCAACCAAUUUUCUUCCAACAAGUUCAAAUGGAAACAGAAUGCUGAAUUCAUCUUGUAGUUGAUGUAUACAUAAUCCUCCAUUGCUUCCUCAGUAGUGGUUUAAAAGCCACAAUCUCUCCAUAGUUAUUUGAACUAAAGUUACAUAACACAUUCAGUGCCUGCACCCUUUAAAAUUUUAAAUUAUUUGUUACAGUACCAUUCUCCACCACACAUUCACACAAUAAAAGAUUCUACACAUAAAAACCAAUAAAGUGUCUUUACUUUUUAACCACACAUUCCUUAAAAAAUACAAUUCAAAACUCUAACUUUCCAAAACAAACAGGGGCUCACUCUGCUCCCCUUCUUUGCAUGACUCCCUCCUGGCUCAUUAACACCAAGAACCACCACGGACCAUCGCAAAGAAAUGAUGAUGACACCACCAAGCAAACCUCAACUAUCACACAAUCAAAUGCCCACCAUUAACAACCCAAUUGCCCUCUGAAACCCCAAUACCGCCGAAAUCAAAGCACGGACUCAACACCACAAUUAGAAGACUACAACUACGAAAAAUAAAAAUUAAAAAUUAGAUAUAGACAUUUGUUUCUUUUGCUGUCAGACAAAACUGUGUAGUUGCAGAAUUAUACGGAUUUAGGAAUUGCUGAAUUAUACCAUACAAACCCGGAUAGCUCACUCGAGGAGGUUCUGCAUAUGCAUUUAGUGACAAUGGUGAUUAUGUUUGUUAAUCAUUUGUGAGUUGUGACUGAAUAUGGUAUCAAAUUUCAAUGGCAUGUAGACUUUUCCUUCUCAAUGAAUGAACGGGGUGAUCAAUCAAGUUUCAUUCGUGAGCAAUUUUUUCUCCUUUUUUAAUUGAAGGCAACUCAAUCUUCUAUUAUUCGUGUCAACACGAUUACCAGUUUUGCUUAUUUCAAUAUAUUAAAGGGGUUGGUUAAGUGAUGCAAUCAAAAUAUGAGAGACAACUUUAUAUGCAAUCAUUUUUUAUUUUUUUUAAAGCCCAUCAGGCAUUUAUUCAUACCAACCCUCACUUAAGGCGGAGGAAAACCAUAAUAACAACUGAUCAAUCAAUAAAAAUAAUGAAUAAUCUCAACUCCUAUCAACGCAAUCAAACAACAGAAAAAAGCCCAUCUUUUUUGACGAAUGUACACCGUACCCAUCUUGUCUAGAUGGAUCAACCUUCGACAAAGCCUUGGUAGUUCCAUACAUGAUAAGAACCGUUCUGUCUUCCCCUUAGCACCUAACUUCGCCAGCUCAUCCGCAACCCGAUUAGCUUCUCCAUACUGAUGCAUGAUGUGAAAAUCAAACUUCUUAAGAAGGUCUAUGAGAACUUCCCAAAAAUCCCACAAGUACCAUAACGUACAUUUUCUUGUCAGAAUCCAGGAAACCACUAACAACGAAUCACAUUCAAUAUCCACUUGAUAUAAUCCCAAAUCCUGACACAAGGUCAGUCCAUCAGUAAGCGCUCUCAACCCCGCCUCAUUGUUAGUGCCAUAUCCAAAGAAAGAAGAGAAACCUGCUAUCAGCCUGCCAGUUUCAUCCCUUACAACCCCACCACCACCACCAGCCAUGCCUUGGUUGCCUAGACAGCUUCCAUCUACAUUUAGCUUUACUCUGCCCGCCGUCGAUUUAGCCCAUUUAACAAUUCGAAGAGGCCACCAUUGGACUAAUAUCAAAGUUUCUAAGAAGUAAUUCUUCUGACCGCGAAAGAACUCGUUCUUUUUUCAAAUUGGAUGACACAUGUUGCAGCCAGAAUUUAAUCGAACGAAAAAUCUAUUCCACAGUUUCAUGAACACUUCCCAUUCUCGCUUUACAACGUCUCAUCCAUAGCCUCCACGUCAGUAUAGUGGGAAGUAACCCUUGUAAGUACCCAACUUGUGAUUUUUUACCUGCAAUGGCCCACCAUAAAUUUACUCUAUCAUACCAGUUUUGUUUAGAUCUCCACCGAAUACCCAAAGCCACUGAAACUUUCCUCCAAACUUCGUUUGCCACCUCACCUGUACUAAGAACAUGGUUGGGUGUUUCUUCAUUUCCCGUAAGGCAACAAUCACAACGAGAAGCUAAGGCUACACCCAUUUGCCGAACUCUACCAUCAACACUUAAAGCUUUAGAAAAAGCCUUCCACAUUAUCACUGACAUUCUUUUUGGGAGUGCAAAAUGCCAUAGCCAUCUACCCUAAGAGGUUUGGGGCUGCCGAACUCUAAUCAUGUCCCAUGCACUCUUGGAAGAGAAUGUUCCUUGACUAUUCGAUUUCCAAAUAAGAACAUCAUCCCCCUCUCUACAUUUACUCACCUUAGCCAUAACACUAGUGGCUUUGUCUUCCCCUACAAGUUGCCGUAAUUGAUUUAUAUUCCAACCACUAUCCAAGCAAAUAUCUUUGAUUCUAAGAGUUGGUUGAUCAAUAUGUGAUGCGUCCCGUGACAAAGGGCCGUCAUCUAACCAAUGAGCAUACCAGAACGAGAUAGAACCCUCCCUAAUCCGCCAUUGACUAUUAUUAAUCACAUCAGGGAUGCAUCCCACAAUAGAGCACCAAAAUCAAGAGCCUAUACAGCGUAAAUUGGUGACAUCAAUCAAACCAUACUUCGUAUAUUUUGCCCGAAAAAAAGUUGCCCAUAAGCAAUCUCAUGACAGUAAUUUCCAUGCAAACUUCAUGUGUAAGGCACGCUGGACAUCUUCAAAUUUCCUAACCCCGAUCCCCCCUUCCACCACCAGUUUACAAAGUUUAUCCCAAGAACACCAUUUCUUUCUAGUCCUUCCAUUAACCUCACCCCAAAAGAAAGAUGAGAGGAUGGAAUUGAGUCUCUUAAAACUAGAUUUUGGAACAUUCAACACAGACAACAAAUGGGUAGCCAUACACGUGAGAACAUGACAAAGUAAGACCAAUCUGCCCCUUACGACAGCAAUUGAAGCUUUCAACCUACAAUUUUCUUUCUGAUUUUCUCCACCAAGGGCUCAAGAUGGCGGGCAGUAAAACGACCCUAGACCACUGGAACACCCAAGUAGAUAACUGGAAAUUGACCCUCCUUAAAACUACUCUCCCUUAAUGCUAUUCCUUUCCGAGUCACUAAACAAUUUUUUGAGAAAAAAAUAGCAGUCUUUUCCUUUUUGAUCUUUUGACCAGUCCAGCUCUCAUAUAGACCUAGAACCUUUCUGAGCUCUUUGAUAGACCUUUUCCCUCCAUUGGCAAAAAUGAUUAAAUCAUUAGCAUACAUCAAAUGAGUUAUCGCAGUCGCGCCCUAGGGUGUGAGAAAUACUCAAUCCGUCCUUCCUCAAAACCCCUCUUCAGCGGUCUAGUCAACACCUCUUACAUGAUAAUAAACAAAUAAGGGGAUAAAGGAUCUCAUUGACAAAGACCGCGCGAUGAUUUAAAAAAACCUUGCUUGGUUCCAUUCAUCAUCACUGAGAACCAUGGUGUGGAUAUACACUGUUCAAAUAACUUACAAAACCUCGUCGGGAACCCAAAGGAUGAUAAAACAUGAAGUAAGAAAUGCCACUCCACCCUAUCAUGUGCUUUAGCCAUAUCUACUUUAAUCAUCACAUUUCCACCAUGAACCUUUUUAUUCAGAGAGUUCACUAAUUCUUGAGUGAGUGUAAUGUUCUCGAAAAUACUUUGACCUGGGAUGAAGGUUCCUUGCUCUUGAGAAAUAAUCCUAAAAAGUAUAACACUCAUUCUCUGUACUAAAAUCUUCGAAAAUAUUUAGUACACAAUAGAGCAAAGACUGAUUGGUCGAAACUUAUCAAAACCGCUAGGAUUCUCCACCUUUGGGAUCAACACUAUAUAGGAUGAUGUAUAAAAUCGAGGAAGCACCCCUCUUUCAAAAAACUCCUUUGUUGCCUCCACUAGAUCCCCUUUAAUAAUAUCCCAGCACUUGAUUAAAAAAGUUGAUCCAUAUCCAUCAGGCCCAGGUGCGCUAUCCAUAGAUAUCGAAUGAGUUGCAGUUCGAACCUCCUCUUCAGUCGGCAAAGCACAUAGCAUCUAUCCUUCCUCUUGAGAACUGCAGACUCAAUGAUAUGAGAUAAAUCUGGCACAAUUUCGCUUUCCUCGCUCGUAACAACAAUCUGAAGAUAUUUCACAGCUUCUGUAUGUAUUUGCUGCGGAGUCAACAGAAUAGUGUCGUCUGUAAGCUUCAUCUGAUUUAACUUUGAUUUACUUCGUCUUUGCGAGACUACAGGAUGAUAAAAUUUAGAAUUGUUAUCACCAUCAGACAACCAUUUCUUUUUCGUCAGUUGGGACAAUCUAAUUUCCUCUCUUCUUUGCCAUUCCUCCAAUUCAAUUUUAGAAAUCAAGUAUUCUUGUUCUGCCUCAUUAGAAUAUACAACUUGUAACCUGCUAUCGAGAGCCUCCACAUGUUCUUCUAACUCCAAAAUAACAUUAUCAACCCUCCCAAAAAUCUCUUUAUUCCGCACUUUCAAAGCUUUUUUAGUAGCCUUUAGUUUAGCCGCUAAUUUUUCUAAGCCACCCAACAUCAAACCACUAUCUCCCAAUCUCCAUGCUGCCUCCACAAGUGGCAAAAAACCCUCAUGCUCACACCACAUUCGUUGGAAUCGAAAUGGAGUCGGGCCUUACAAAGCAUACUUCUUUUGCAAGUUAAUAGUCAUAGGGCGGUGAUCAAAAGAUGUUCCCGACAUGUACUUCAUACUUGCUUCCGGGAAGUCACGUAACACCUCCUCAUUUACCAGUGUUCUGUCCAGUCGCGCCCAACUUCUAGUCAAGCCCUCAUGUCCAUUGCACCAAGAUAAUUUUCUACCUAGAACUGGCAGCUCCAAGAGACCACACUUGUCAAUGCACUCGUUAAAAUCUUCCAUAGCCUGAAGAGGUCUAGGGUGGCCACCCACUCGCUCAGAGUCAUUUCUAAUGAUAUUGAAAUCGCCAAAGACCACCCAAGGAAGGCCACUCACCCUAACAUUCUCCAACUCUUGCCAAAGUUUCCUCCUUUCCAAAGCAUUACAUUUCGCAUAAAUGAACGACACUAACAUCUUAUAUUCUCCCUUCAUGAAAACUCCAUGUAAAGCUUGAUCCGAGAAAUGAACCCAGUCAACCUUGUAAUCUUCACUCCAAAAAGCCCAUAAUUUACCUCCUGUUUUCUCAUUUGAUAUAAAGUUUGGCAACUUUAUUUUACAAGCCAAAAGCUUCAUUUUUUCUUCCCCAUGAAAAGGUUCCACGAUCCCUAGUAUUUCCACAUUGAAUUUCCUCACUAACUUUCCUAUCCUUCGUUUUGACGUGCCCACCCCUCGCACGUUCCAUAUUAAUAGUUAAUCAAUCAUAAGUCAAGUUUAGUGGGGCAUGCUCGCGCCCUCUGUGAUGCUCUAGUAACCUGGGGAAUAGUCUUCUGUACUUCGGUAUAUUGUUUAUGGACCUCUGAAUCAGACCAAUAUUCUGAGUCUUUCUCCCCUUCGUAUCCCCUUAUUUCCUUUUCACAAUCAGACUCAUGAUGGAUAGGAUGCCGCUGUUGUUCUUCUCCACCAUCUUGCACAUUCACAUCAUCACCAUCAAUAGGAUACCCCUCAUUCCCUACUGGUAUCUGGUCAUUUACGACCUCCAAAUCUUCAUCAACCACUUUGGAAAAGUCCUUCACAAUGUCAAUGUUGGACGGAGCUUCCUUCCCUGUACCUAUAUCAACGUGUGUUGAAUCAUCUUUCAUAGUCAAAUCCUCACUUAAUUUAGCCUCCAGUAGUACAACCUCCCUCUCUCCAAUUUGAGCUUUCUCUACCCCAAUCGAACCACUAUCUCUCGUAUUCACCAAGGGGUCAACCUCCUUAAACCUCACCAUAGCAUCACACAAACUCUCACUCUCCUUGACAAAUUUACCUGCCCCCACCGACGAUUCCCCCUUCUCAAUUCGAGUAAUCUCCAGUUGCCCAAUUAUUUCAUCCACCUUAUCUUUGUUUUUCGCUAUAUCAUGCCCCUCUUUCUUGGGCCAUUCUUGUCUCUCCAUCACUUUUUGAGGGAGCACACGGCUCUGUCCAACCCGACACACAGAUUCAGGAUGACCUUGCCGACCACAUUUGAUACAAUAGAAACCUGGCUUCUCAUACCAAACAUCUUGCCAAAAUGUCUCCGAUGAAGUAACAAUAAGAAAACUACUGACUGGUUUUGCAAGCAAAUCCACUUCAAUACACAUUCUAGCCCCUGUGGCCCGAGACCGAUUCAAAGUUGCAUGGUGAGUCCCCAAGUAUCUUCCAAAUCGAGUCGCUAAAAUUCUUAAGCAAUCUGGUCUAUACAUAUGCAUCGGCAAACCUGGCAAAAAGAUCCACUGUGCAGCAAUAGAAGAUUCUCUAUUGAGAUCAAACUCUGUCGACCAUUUGAAGAGACGAAAUGUCGCCCCAGCCAAGGAUCGACCCUCUCUUGUCCACACAUGCAAGUAAUUUGUCUCGUUCUUCAAUUGAAUCAGCACAUGUGAGACAUCCAUGUAGCUAAUUACUGGAAUCACUUGAAGGCCACAAGUUUCGUUAACAGUCUAUCGAACCACAUCAAUGUUUGGCCUCACCGUGAGGAAUUUCAUCACCAAAGCAAACCGUAAGUCCUCAGAUAGGGUCUUCUCUUCCACAUCUGUAAAAAUAAAUCCAAGCUCAUCGUUAAUCAAUUUUGGACCUCGCUUCGUGAUGGCCGUAUCCAUUUUUAUCACCAUCUGAUUAAUCCCAGUUUUCUCGCGCGACUUGACAACCUCUGAAUAGAAUCUGUUGUGUUGCACUCCAACCAGAAACCCACCCAUUGUGGCUCCACCCUGAUGCUCACCGAAAAGCCGUGUCGACGCUGGUUGCACCGGCAGGAUAGUAGUCAUGGUAAUCCCGUUUGCAGAUGAGAUUCAGGCUCGAGCCCUAAUGGUUUUUGUAAAAUCACCAAAAGUUAAUUUUUUCCUAAAAAAAAUAUGCAAUCAUAACAUGCUAAAGAGCAGCUAUUUGGAUGAGAAAUUAGAAUGGGAUAAUCAAGUUUAUCGUGUAUAGCAGCAAAAUGACAAUACAAAUUCUGGAAUUUGUUACGAGAUAAUGUGUAAUCUAUACAAGGGACCAUCAUAUAAUAAGCAACAGCAUUGCAAGACUCCAUGCAAUUUCAAGUUAACUCUACAACUAAAAUUGAUUUAUUUUCUGAGGUAUGAUAUCAAAGAAAGAUUACACAAAAGAGAACGAUCAGUGGAAUCGUCCAGAAAAAUUCACAAACGUAUUACCAUCAACCUAAUCAGCAUGCUUUCCGGUACAAGAAGUGGAAGAGGAAACCAAAUUCCUCCAGAGAUAACUUCCACUUGACAUGUCCACAAAGGUCCACCCACCGUUCCUUAUUACUUCAUACACCUGUAAUCACAUAUUCACAUUAUAACAACAAAUUGGCUCCACGUUCACGCAUAACAAAAAUUAAACAAUAAUAUAACAGAGCAAAAACAAGAGACCUUGGAGAAAACAGUGAUAGCAUCAGGUGAUUCAAUUUCUUUGUCGGUUGGGGACUUCACGUCGUCAUUUUCGGGGUUGAUAGGAGGGGAUUUGAGGUUUCUGAGGACGAAAAACCCAGCGAGGGCUGCAGAGAGGAAGACCAAAAUUAUUCUGAGAGGGCACAUUUCGCAGUCUCUCUCUCUCAGGGGAGGUUUUAGAGAGAGAAUUCUCUUGAAAACAAUUUCACAAUUCUAGACGUACAGAAUUAAUUUUUCAAAUGAAAUUAUGGGAGAUUUUUCUUAUUGGUCUGUUACAUUAAAAAGUCUAUUUUACCCUUAAUGAAAUAAUUCUUCCUAUAUUGCUCAAUAUAUAUCCUAAUCUAUAUUCUAUUUUGAAUUUUUGAAUAUAAAUUCAUUCUAUUUGGAAUAAUCUGCAACAUGUUGUUCACAUUUAUUAUUUAAUAUAUUAUAUUCUUCAGAAGAUACAUCUAUAUUUUUUAAUUGAGAAUACAUAUUUUUUAUUACUUCUAACAUUCUUUCUAAUAAAUUAUCCAACCCUUUAAUUGUAUAUCCUGGCAUUUAUAUAAAUAAUCAUCAAAUCAUGCAAUUAAUCUCUUUGAUUCUCUAAGAUAUAAAAAGAUCCAUUCCAAUUUUAGAAAAAAUUUAAUAGUUUUACCUUAGAUUUGAUCUGAAUUUUUAUUCUUAAAACCGAGUGACCUUUGAGCUCUGAAUGUAUAAACUGCUUCCUUCAACGGCCUCCUUGCCUUCACGGAAUCUUUGCUAUUUCAACUUCUUGCUCUCACUAUAUCAAUUCUAAAGAAUAAAAUUCUAAACUUCUGUUAAAUAAAAAUUCUAUUUUUGCUAAAAUAAGAAGGAAACUUUCUAUUUGAUCUUUCAAUAAUUCAUGGGAAUAAAGAUUUAGAAACUCAUUUUGAUAUCAAAAUAUUGGAAUUUUAUUCCUAUCAGAAUUUAUACAAGGUUUCUAUUUAGUACAAAGGGAUUUCCAGAAAAACUGGUUUUAGAAAUGUUGAUUCUGCACUAAAAAUCGAGCUUACAAUUUAAGAGAAGAUACUUUGAUUUCAAGAUAAUAUAAUCUCUAUCUAUUACAAUGCCUCUAUUUAUACAAAUAUAUGAGGUUCUAUAAUUGAUCUAUUACAUCAUUCAAUAUAUCAGCAAAAGCACACUUGCAUAUCUAUUAUUUUUCUCCUUGGGCCUACAUCUUCACAUGCUUUUUCAACUUUUUAUCCAAAAAGCGUCUUUUUUAUCUUCUAUGUCUUUACAUGCAGCUGUAUUAUUGCCCUUCAUAUAGCUUUGUCAAAUGUGCUCUUAUAUUGUCUUCUUUUUUCAUAUACAGUUGGGGUACUCCCUUAGCUGGCGGGAUUCUUUUAUAGUGGUAGGACAUCCUGAAAAUUGAUGUAUUUCAAAUCUUGUAAUAUAAUCCUUCAAUAUUUCUGAUUUUCCAUGUCCUUGAUUUGAUACCAGCAUCCAGUUUUCAUAUUGGCACAAGCAUGAGAAUUUUUUGUCAAACUAAUUUUUGGCUAUGUUGUAUAUGGCUUUAAUUCCAAGUGCUCUUCUAUGUCUGAUCCAUGAUUUUGUCAUUGUUGGAACUUUUCUAUCAUUUUCCACCACAUCUAUUUGGAAGUUGGCUGCAACAUAUCCAAUUGAGAUUAUGUAUUCAACUGGAUAGAAAACAACUUCUUCAUAUUCAGGACUUACUGAAUAAAAUUUUAAAUAUAUUUUCGUCCCUUGACAAAUCUUGAUACUUCUUUGAUAUGUCAUCAAAUUUUGAAAUUUCAAUCAAAUAUUUUCUUGGAUAUAUCAAAUCCAUAAAUCCAUAGUCUAACAUAAUUUUUAUAAAUGAAAGGUCUCCUCCUUCCAUGGCUAUUAUUCUGGGAUACACAUUAUUUCCCGGAUAAAUGAAAUAUGAAUCACUCAUUUUUAUUUCGUUAGCAAUUUUGACUAUUUCAGCAUAUUUUUCUUAUUUUGGAUCUGAAGGGAUUUUAUCUUCUUAGUCUAUGAUACUGAUUGUUUUAGAAUCUCUUUUAUCUCCAUGUAUCAUCACUUUUUUGGUUGAUGAUAUUGAAAUGGAAUCUCAUUUUUUAUCAGUUAGUAUAUUGUCACAUCUGGGUCCACUGCUGGUUUCAGUUGUCCCUGUUGGUAUUGAUUUGGAAAACUCAUUUCUGAGUUCUUUGGUGGUAUAUCUGUCUCAAACAGUAUAUCUUUUAGUUGUGCUGCAAUAUCAUCAACUUGAUUUUUGAGUUCUAUGGUCUCUUUAUGAUGCUCAAUAGUAAUAUUCAACAAUAUUUUUAUAUUGGAAUUGAACAUCUCUGAGAUUUGUGUUGCUCCAGUAUUUAUGUCUUCAAAUUCAUCUUUAAGAAAAUUUGUCCUUUUUUUGUAUAUGUAGGAUAGAUUGGUAUAAAUCCAUGACCCUAACUUUAUCCAACAACAAAUUAUAUAUUUCUGCUGAGAAAAUCUGCAAGAAAAUUAUUAACUCCUUUAAUAUGAACUAUAUCAAAAUUAUUAAAUGUUAAAUAAGUUUGCCAUCUAUGGAGCCUUCUGUAUUGAGGUUCUAAUGGUAAUUUACUCCUGAUUAAUCCUACAACUUGAGAAUUAUCAGUCUCAACAGUAAAUUUCUUAGAUAACAAGAAUAGUGAAAACUUUCUUAUCCCUCUAAUAAUUGCUAGUAAUUCUUUCUUAUGAGUGAUAUAAUUUAUUUCUGAUUGAUUAAAAGUUCCACUUGAAUAUCUACAAAUCUCAUUUAAAUCUGUUUUUAAUAUUGCUGUCCAAUAUUUAUCUGAAGCAUCAGUAUUAACAAUCAAAUUAUCUUUUUCAUCUAGUAAUCUUAAUUUUGGUAAAUUUUUACAUUCUUCUUUCAAUGAUUUAACUAUUUUUGUAUGUUCUUCAUUCCAUCCCUUAGUAUUUAUUUUUUUGAGUAAAACUUGUAUUUUGUGCAUUUUCUUAGAAAGCUUUUUAAUAAAUCCUUUUGCAUAAUUUAAACAUCCUAAAAUUUUUUGUAUUUGUUCUUUAGAUUAUAAUUUAUCUAGAAAGCUUUUUAUCUUUUUAGAUAUACGAGUUUGCAAUUUUAUUCCUCUUUUAUCUAUUGAUAAUCUAAGAAAAUAGAUUUCUUAUUUUUCUAUCAUAGAUUUCUUUUUAGAAAGUACAAUUCCUUCUUUUUUACAUUCAUUUAUGAAUUGUAUUAAAUGAUUCCUAUGUUCUUCUUUACUGUUAGAACAUAUCAAUAUAUCAUCUAUAUAAACAAUUAGAAAUUCAUUAAACUUUUUAAAUAAAUUAUCCAUUUUUCUUUGAUAUAUUUGUGGUGCAUUUUUAAUCCAAAUAGCAUUAUUAACCAUUCAUAUUUUCCUUAAAGUGUACUAAAUGCAGUAUAUUGUAUACUAUUUUUUUCGAUUUUUAUUUUUCAAAAUCCUAAUUUACAAUCGAAUUUAGAAUAAUAUUGUUUUCAUUUUGCAAGGUUUAUUAAAACUUUUUUAUUUGGUAAACAAUAUCCAUCAAUUUAGUAUAUUUAUUUAAUUCUUUAUAAUUAAUAAUCAUUCUAACUUUUCUUCUAACCUGUUCAGAAUGUUUCAUAACCAUAAAGGCUGGACUACUAUGAGGUCCAUUGCUUGGUCUUAUAAGUUUCUGUUCUACCAAUUCUUUUAUCUGAUUUUUAAAUUCUUGUGUAUCUUCUAUCUUAUACAUUAUUGGUCUAACUCUUAUUAUAACAUUUUCUGUCAAUUCUAUUUUAACUUUAGGGUGAUGUGGUUUCCAAAAUAAUAAUGGAUUUUCUCAAUAAACUUUUUCUGAUUGUUCAAUAAUUUUUUCUAUACUUAUUUCUAUUCUCGUUUUUAAAACUUUUUUAUACAAUAUUCUUUUAUUUUUUAUUUCAUUAAAUAUUAUUGUUUUUUCUCUCUUUUAUCACCACGCUAGGCUGGUUGAACUCUAUAAAGUUUAAAUUCUCUUGAAAUUUUUAAUAAAUGUCCACAAGGUAUUUGUAGCAUUAUCGUAUAAUUAUUUUGCUUAUAAUAUUGAAAUUGUUGUAUAAAGUCAUUUCCUAAUAAUAUAUCAUACUCUAAUUUAUCAUAUUUAUAAAUUUUAUUUAUUAUAAUUUGUUUACUUCCAAGAAUUAUACUAACUUUAUCAACACUAUUAAUUAUUUGGAUACUUUCUCCUGUGACUCCAGUUAUUUUUAUAUUACUAUUAUUAUUCCAUGAUUUUAUCAAAAAACUUUUAAAUAUUGUUAUAUCACUUCCUGUAUCUAUUAAAACUCAAGUUGUUAUAUUUGUUUCUAUAAUAGUGAUUUGUAUAUAUACAUCCAAUAGAAAACUUAUCUGAUUAUUCAUUUAGUUCUUUUUACAUAAUAUAAUUUGUAUAUUAUAGACUAUAUAUAAUCCUUCUAUUUUUAUAUUAUAACCUUCUAAUCCAUUUAAAAAAACUUAUUCCUAAAAGUAUAUGAGUGUUUAUAUCCAUAUUUUUAUCUAUAUAAUAUGGUACUAAAAGAUCUAUUUCUCCUAUUUUUAUUGGUACCUUAACUUCUAAAUCUGUAAUAUGUAUUUAUCCAUCAAAAUUUACAUAUCUAUAUGGAUCAGUUUUAUGAGUUAUUAAUCAUUUAUUUCUGAUUGAAGCUAUAUGAUAUUCACUAUCUCAUGUAUCUAUUAAUAUAUUUGGUCAAUUUAUAUUUCAUCUUCCAUUAUAAUAUUUUUCUUCUAUUUUCAUAUUUCUAGCAUUCCUAUAUAGUUUUGUUUUUUUUAUAUUAUUAAAUUCUUCUAACUGGUUUUUAUUAGGUAUUCUAAGACUUUUUGAUCUUUUAAUUAAUUUUCCAUUCUUAAAUAUUAUAUUAUUAGAACAUUCUCCUUCAUUUAAUUAUGUUAUUUCAUGAUUAUUUUUUGUUAUACAAAAUUCAUAUUCUUCUGAAAUUAAACUUAUUUUUUUACUUGAUUCUAUUAUUUUACUAAUAUCCUUACAUUCUUUAUGUAUUUCAAUAUAAGGUUUAUUGGAAUAAACGUUACCAUAACUAGAAUUGGUAAAUGUGUAUAAAACUCUAUACUCUAUAGUUAUAAUUUGAUCACUUGGUUGCAUGAUAUCAUUUCUAUGUAAUUUAAAAUGUAAUCAUAAAAUUUCAUUAAAGUUUCUAUCUUUCAAUGAUACACAAUAUUUUGGGUAACAUGUAAACAUUAUCUUUUGAUAUGCCAGAUUUUCUUCUAUUGUUUCUAAAUGACUAUCUUUUAAAUUUAUUAUUCUUCUAUCAUGUAAGGUUAUAAUCAAGGGUGAAUUUAUUCCUUCUCUGAAUAAUGAUUUAAACAUUAUUUGUAUUCCUGCUAAAUAAACAUAUUGGAUUUUUUCAUUUUGUUUUUUACUAACAUUUGUUAAUAGUUCUUCAACUAUAUUUUUUGUUAAAAUAUUUAAUUUAUGUUGUCCACAUGUUCUUAGAUCUAUAGUUUUUUUUUUAUUUUGUGAUAUUCAUUUAUUGCUAUCAUUUCUCAUUUCCAAAUUCUAUCUAAGAUUUUCCAUUUUCCUAUUUUUAAAUUUAAAGAUAAUUUUUGUAAUUUUCUAAAUUUAUUGUUAUCAAAUGUAACUUUUAAUCCAUAUCCUUCUAUUCCUUCAUAUUCUUGUAUAUUUAUAUUAUCACUUUCUAUUUCCUCUAUUUCCUUAUUCUGAUUCAUCAUCCUCUGUUUCACUUAUAUAAAUUUCUUGAUUAUAAUAUUCUUCAAUAUCUGAUAUUUCACUCAAUUCAUCUUUUAUUUUCAAAUAUUUUUUUGUAAUAUUUUAACUUUCUUUUUAUUACAAUCAGGGUUUAUAUGACCUAUUUGUCCACAAUUUUAACAUUUACAUUGACUUUUAUUUUUCUAUUGACCAUAUGGGAUAUUUUUUCUUUUAUAAUAUCUUCUUCUAGGUUUUAUAUAUUUUUUAUUAAAAUUUCUAAAUUUUUUAUUUUUAUAUUUUCUUUUAUUAACCCUUCUUUCAGGAUUACAUUCCCAUUGUAUAGGAUUUUCCAUAUCUUCACAAUAUAUUCUAGUUAGUUUUCUUGAUUUUUUAUUAAUUGUCUUUAUUGACAUAUAUAUGCAAGUCUUUCAAAUAAAAAUUUUAUUUUUGAUCCUAAAGUUCUAGGUAUUUUAACAUUAUCUCUAACAUAUUUUUCAAAUUCUAUUUUAAAAUAUAUUCCUCACGAACCUGGUAGUUUAUUAUAAUAGAUAUCUUGGUAUACUUCUUGGUUUUCAUUACUAUAAAAUUGAACAUAAUAAUAGUUUCUAAAUUCACAAGUAUAUUCUUUAAUUUUACACAUAUCACAUAUUGUUAAAUUUAUUAGCUUAAUUCUAGCAUUGUCUCUUUCUCUUUCAGCAUUUUUUAUCCAAUUUUCUCCUAAAAAUUCAUCUGAAAUAUAUUAUACUAACUUUUCUAUACCUUGUCUAUCUGGAUUUAUUAUUUUUGUUUGUACAUUUCUUUUUAUUAAUGUUAUCAUUAUUUAUUCCUCACCACCAAUUUCUAGCAUCUCCUUCAAAGGAUACUAUUAAGAAAUAUAUUCUUCUUUCGGUAUUUUCCCAUGUAUCAUCUUUAUUAUAUAAAAAGAAUAAUAUCAUUGAAUUUGUCCAAAUUAAUAAGAUUUUUUUGGUAUCUAUUUUACAAUUUAAAUCUAUUUUUGUUCCUCCAUGAUCAAUAGGUUUACAUAAUUAUCAUUUAAUUCAAAUCUGUUUCUAUAUUUAUUUCCUUUAGGUGGUUGUCUAUCUCUUACUUUAUCAUAAAAUUGUCUACAUGGUUUAUUAUAUAUAAAUGCAUAACUUUAAUCUAAAUCUUGUAAUUCUUGUUUAGAAGUUUCUAUUGGAUUAAGUCCUCCUCCAGUAUUCAUUAAAACUUGGUAUUUACUUAUAUCACUUAAAUUUAAUUGAUCAAAAUUUUCUAUAAGUAAAUCUAAUUCCUUAUUCAUCUUUAUCUUUCUUUUCUUCUACUUUUAAUUUUCCUAAUAUUUUUUCUCUAGAUUCUUCUUCUUUUAAUAUUUUUGGUAAUAUAUUUUUUCUAAAUUUGUCAUCCAUACUUCUUGUUUCUAUUAUUACACUUUCUUUCUCAUUAUAUUUCUUUCAUAUUCGAGUCAUUUCUUUUUCUAUUAAUUUUUUAUCUAUUUUCUUUUCUUUGUUUUUAUUAUUUUUUUUAAUUCUCUAAUUUCAAUUUUUAAUAUAUUUAUAUCAUUUCUUGUUUCUCUUAUUUCAUUUCUUAAAUCUUGUAUAUUAUUUAUUAACAUUUUUAUUAAUGACUUUAAUUCUUCGAUAUAUUCACUUAUUGACAUAUUAAAAUCAUCUUUCUAACAUAUAAGUUAAUUUACAUCUUUUACCUUCUUUUUUAUCUAUUAUUUUUUUCAAAUUUUCUGUUGGCUAUAUCUGGAUUUAUUAAUUCUUCUUUUACUAUACUGAAAUAUUUACUCUCAAGUUUUAAUCUUUCACAUUUUAAUUUUAUUAAUUGUCUUUUAUUUGACACUCUUAUUCCUUCUGAUAUAACAAAUAUCUGUAUUUUUUCUUGUAUUUUUUUCAUUUUUAUAAGUAAUUUAUUUAAUUUUAAAUUUGUAUCAUCACUUACACUCGUACUUCUCUUUAUAAUAUAAAUUAAUCUCUUCAUCUUCAUAUUCUUUAAUAAUUUUUUCAUACACAUAUAUUUCUUUUAUCUACCAUAUUAUUAAUUUUUCUAAUAUUUUUUCUUUUAUUUCUUUAUGUAAAUCUUUAACUAUUGUUAAUGUCAUUAUUUUUAAUUUAUUAGAAAUAGGUUUUAGAAAUAUAUAACUUUCUCUUCCUUCUUCUAAUUUAUAAUAAUUAUCUAUUUUUCUUAUUUUAAUUUUCAUGAUCUCUAUGCUUUUAUCAAGAUGUAAAUAUAAAUAUUUGUAUAUUAUAAUUAAUUAUUAUUUUCAAGAUGUAUAAUCUAAAUAUUCCUUUAAUUUUAUAAUAAUUAAUCUAUUAUUUAUUAAAUUUAUAUAAAAUCUAAGUGUUAUUCUAAAUCUAAAAAUUUUUAUUUCUUCAGGUAAUCUAUUUUUUAUGGGUUUCCUCAUGAUCUCUAUGGCUCUGAUACUAAUUUGGAAGGGGGGCUACUUAGAGCGAACAAAAAUCAAAUAAAUCUAUAAACAAAAAAAAUCUAUCAAGUAAUAUUUAAUUUUAAGGACUAAAAUGCAAGAUUUCUAUAUUAUAUUAGCUUGUUAGGCAAUAUUCAAAAUGAGGGGUAUUUUAGGUAUAUUCAUGUGAUAAAAUUGGUCAAAGGUCAUUUUGGAAAAAUGGCCUCUUUAUUUAGGCUAUUUCCAUGUAUUUCUCUGAAAUUAUUGAGACGAAGAGGGAGAGUCAAUAAUGUAAGAAAAGUAUCGUAGCGGUUGUUACAGGGAUGACCUAUUCUUGUUCAAAGUUAUUUGGUGUCAUUUCCGUAAAACAAAAUUACAUAAUUGGUCCUUAAAAUAUAAUUCUUCAAACAACUUGGUCAUUAAAUGUACUCUUAAAACGCCAUAAACUCAAAACUUUUGUUAGAAUAUUCUUCUUAGUUGUAAUUAAUAAUAAAAAUGAAAAUAAAGGAAACGUACUCGUCUGCUCACUUAUAUUGCUUGCUCUUUGCAGGAAUAAAAAGUUCAACCCGUGAACCAAAUGGAGGACACGAAUUGAAGAGGGAUUGGGUAGCACAAAUAAUUAGAUUGAAGGACUAGGGUUGGGGUUGAGGAGGAGAUGAAGGGUUUGAGACCAAAUUAGUAAAAAUUUUAAUUUAUGUUGUGUAUGUAUUACAAAAUUGGUUAUACGUUAGGAUUAGUAAAUUUGACACAUAAUUUGUUCUCUUUAUUGAGUCGAGAUACUGUAGGAUAAAAAGACCAAAUUACAUAUAGUUGAUAGUUGGAAAAAACCGAUUUAUUUGUAGAAAGCAAUUUUUAUCUUUAUAUAACUUGUUGAAAUUUUGUUAUAAAAAAGUGAUGAAUGGUUUAGUCAUUAUCCAACAAACAUUUCAAAAUUUUAAUUUGAAAAUAAAAUAAGGUCCAUUAUAGUAUUAUUUAUGGGUUGGAUCCCACCAAUUUACCUAACUCUAUGACUUCAUUUUUCAACGUGCUUUGCAUAUACUUAUUUCGUUAAACUGUGUUGACAAAAUGUGUCCACUUUGUUUAGAAAAAGAAGCUUCAUCGCACUCGAUUGCGUGUACCAUUCUCUCUCUCUCUCUCUCUCUCUCUCUCUCUCUCUACUUUUGAUAAGGGAAAACCGCACGUAUAGGUGCAAGUUUCACAUGAGCCUUACAGGUCUCUCACCGUUUGGGGGACAGACCCCACAUGUAUUUAAAAAAUAAAUAAAAUUGUGGAGCCACACCCCACAUGUUUCAUCUAAAUCUACGAUAAGGUAUAGGCUCAAUUAUUAUUUUGAAAUGAAUAUAUUAUCUAACAUUAGUUGUGCUUUAUGUGACAUUAUGUAAUAUAUUCAACUAAAGGUAAAAUUAUGUAAUGCCACUAGUAAUGCUACAUAGACUUAUGUUAAAUACCAAUAGUAUAAAUAACAUUACUCUUAAUGUUAUGGAUUACAUUAAAGGUCAUGAAUACUUAUUCAUUGCCGAACUUAUGUUAUCAAUUUUUUUCAUCGCAUUAAACUUUUCAUUUAUUAGUAUAUUUUAUCCCAAUGACAGUUUUCGUUUAACAAGUCCAUUUAGAACAGGGUAAACUGUGUUAUUUGUACCUCAAAUUUUUUAAAUAAGCAAAAAAAUAAAAUAAAAAGACAGAAUAUUUAGACAUAAAUCAUCAUUGAGACUAGAUGUGAUAAUUAGUGAAACAUUGAAGAUAAGAAAGUGACCCAAAAAAAAAUGUGGGAACAUAAAUAUGACAAUAUGAAAAAAUUGAACUAAAAAGUAGUGUACAAAGGAAAACUGUGGUCUUAUUAUAGCAUUCGAGAGACUCACAUGAUAAUUCCUCUUCCUUCAAACUUUUUUUUUUCUAUAGCAUAUUUUUGGCAUGAAGUAAUUAACAAUAUGGAAUAGUACUAUAUCGGUCAAAUGUACUGAACAUUUACAUAACUUAAUGACUAAAGCGAUUUAUGUUAUGAUUUUGUUGAACCUAAACUUGGACCAAGUUUUUAGCCCCAUAACUUGGAUAAGUCAGAGCAACUCGUACAAUCCAACUACUACGCUUUGAUAAAAAUGGUCAUCAUCAUGAGUCAAGUUUAAUUAAAGGACCAAGUUAUCUUGACAGUGAAGGUUUGACACCCUCCUUGACAGACACUCACAAUAAGAGGGGAGUGGGUGCACUUUUUGGGCAUUUUUUUAUUCAAGCGAGUCCAUAGCAUGUGAGUGAAUGUCAACCAAAAUAUCCAAUUUUUUCUAGCAAAUAAGCAUUAUUCUUAAUUAAAAUAUAAGACAUGCACGUUUCAAGUAGAACAAUAAUAUCAAUGAAUAAAAUUGAAAGUGGGUCAAUUUAUAUAAAGUGAACCUUAUAGGGUAUAAAUUAAUAAAUUCAAUUAUACAGCAAAAAUUUUCUGGUACCAAAUAGGGCCAAUUGGACAAAUUAAUAAUGCUCAUAAAUUGAUAAGAUAAUCCUGUACGUAAGUAAUCGUUGUUGCUUUUAAAAUACUCAGUUUUACCUUAUAAAGUGAACAUUUUGGAGACAAGUAAGAAAACAAAUUGGCUAUUUAUUUUUUCCCUAAUUUUGAGAAGGCUAAAAGGUGCGAACUUCUUUUAGUUAUUGUUCCACAUUUCUUGUUUACAAUAAAAUAAAAUCAUAUCUAUCGAAAUUAACAACAAAUACAUGUUGUUAACCAUAUAAAUUAUCAUCAUUAAAACUUAAAAGUGCAAUGUCGUGUCGUGAGUACUAACUAAAUUAUAGUAUAAUUCGCAUUAAUUAGGUCAAUGUGUAUGAUAAUAUAUGCCUCAUGAUGGAUCAUUAUACUAAAUAGCAAAGGAAUUUCUUCAAAUAGGAUGAUAGAUGGUGAUCGACGAAUUAGGGCACGUAUAACUUGUUGCCACAUUUGCACCUCCACGCCUCGGGAUAGUACUCUGUAGUCACCGGUGUUCCAGGCGGCACUGGCACAUGAACAGGCUUGCACGGUGUACAUCUACCACAUUUUGACGUGCAACGAGGUGGCGACGAUCCUGGCCCACCCAAUAGUCUUCUAGCUCCACCCAUGCUCCCUCUAGCUAUAUCCCAAUUACUAUUUUC